AAGCAACUCCAAAAUCAAACAUCACAUGAACGUACAAGCAGUCUGGAGCCAAAAGAAACACUUCCACAACAAGCCUUUCUUUUAGAUACAUGGGAAGGUAAUCAAAACUCAUAAGAACUACUUAUAGCAGACACAUAACAUAAUUCUCCAGAAAACACAAUCAUGGACAACUAAUGCAACUUCAUGAUCUGGUUUGCCCACUUAUUAUUAUAUUCCAUUACAAUUUCGCCAGCGGAUCCUAUAGCUUUUCCACCACAUUUAAGGUUGAGGUGAAAACUAAUGGCAGUUUCGGUUAUACUUGGGUAGACGGGGCUUCUUCUUAGGAGGAGAUGGUGUAGGCAAGCAGGAUCUAUAAAAAAUUAUAAAAAUUAAUUUUUAUACUAGAGUGAGCCUAGACAACCAAUUGUCCAGAUUCGUUUUAGACUGAUUUUUUUUUUCAAAAUUAUAGAAAAUUUAUUUUAUUUAAGUUUUAUAAAUUUUUAAAACAUUAUUAAAAUUUAUAAAAAUAUUAAAAUUAAAAAAAAUAAAAAUUAAUAAAAAUCAUUUAAAAGUUAACUCCAAAAUUUAUUUAUAUAUAUUUUCUAAAAUAUUUUUUUGAACUUUAUUUAAUAUUUUGAUAAAAUUUAAUAAAAUUUUAAAAAUUUAUAAAAAAACAAAAUUUAAAACGAUUUUUUAUAAGUUUUAAAAAAAAUUUUAAAAAAAAUUUAAGUAUAAAUGAAACUGGACAACCAUUUAUCUAGGUUCAUUUUAAUGAAAAUUUAACUUUUAAUUUUUAAAAAAAUUUGUUUUUUUUUUAUUUUGUUGAUUUCUGCAAUUGUCAUUGAUUGGAGUAGCAUGUCAACAUCGUUAACGGCCACAUCAGAAUUAUAACGAUUAAAGAUAAUCAAAAAAUUUAAUUGAUACAAUUUGAAAAUUUACUUAUUAUAUACGUUUUUCAUUAAAAAACUUAAUUAAUUUUUUGGUCAAAGUUAAAAGGUUCAUAUACGUUUUAGCUUAUAUAUAAUUAAAUGAAUGGAUAAUCCAACACAAUACAUCAAAGUUCUUAUCUAUAUAACGUUGAUAACGUUAAAUGUUAUUUGAUUGUAAUUUAACUAUAUAUAUAUAUAUAUAAAGAGAGUGGAAGCCAUGAGAAUGCAUAGUAUCACUAAUCAUACUUUUAUUUAUUUAUUAAUGAGUUGGAUAGUUUGGGCCUACUUCUUUUUCAAAGAUAAUUUGAUACCAACUACAACGAAAAAGUGAAGGUGAAGUUUACUUUUCAGAUAUUUAAAUUAAAUUUAAAUUUUAAAGUUGUUAUUGUCGAAAUUUGAGAGGGUUUACCUGAAUAUCAUUCUAACUUGAAUAAAACUAAAUUUAAAUUAUAAAAUAGAUAAAAAAUACUCGUAAUUUGAUCAAGUUUGGACAAAUAAAUUAUUAUUCACUUUAUAAUAAAAGGGUAAUGACACCCUCAUGGUCUGUAAUUUCCAAUGGACUUACGGCCAAAUCCAAGCUACUAAUUUUUAAGAAAUUUUAUAUUUGUUUUAAUAAAUUUUGUGAUAAAUAUCAAAAUUAUAUAUGAAUUUUGAUUUAAUAUAUAAUUUGGUACAUGAAAUUUGUGUAUAUUACUAUACUUUUAAAAACUAAUUGAAUAUAAAAUUAUAAAAUCCUAAAUCCAUCUUAACGUUGCAUUAAAAAAAAAAAGUUAAACUAUGUCAUCAAUCUCUGUAUUUUUCACUAAGUUAGAAUUCAAUCCCUAUAUUUUUAUUUUUACAAAUUUAGUCUCUUUACUUUUUAAAUUUCAAAGUUUUAGUCAAAUUGUUAACGCUAUUAACUUUUUUUGUUAAAUUUGUUAGCAUGAUAUUUUGAAAUUAAACAAAAAAUUGUGUUGUAAUAAACUUUAAUUUAACAAAAUAAUUUUAAUAGUAUUUAUAAUUGGACUUAAAUUUUAAAAUCUGAAAAAUAUAAAAUCAAAGCAUUAAAUUUUAAAUUUAUAAAAAUACAGGAAUUUAUUAGACAUUUUAACCAAAAAAAUUAUGAUCAGAAAUUUUCUGUGGAACUCUAAAAAAUUACGGAAUGUUAGAUAAAACCAACAAAAUUUACAAAGGGAGGACUGAGGAAAUUUCCAAGACAGGCAAUAACUGCACAAAAGAAAUUUCCAUAGAUUUUUGGCUAUUAAUUAAUAAUUAUUAAAUAAAUUUGGGUUGACCUCAAGUCUACUAUAAAGCAAGUGGAUGAGGCAUUAAUUAAAAGUGUACAUUUUAUUGACCAUUUCAUAGUUAUCAUAUGCUUGUUGAAACGUAACUUUCGAAAACGAAAGAUUAUGAAAUUUGGGUAGCAAAAGCAAUUAAUGAGUGCAUUAAAAUUUAGGAUAUGUUUUUCCUUUACCUCUUUUAUCUUAUUACGUUUGGAAAAAUUAGAAAAUAUUUGAUAUUCUGUCGGUAGAGUUUUUGAAUUUUACAAACAUAAUUAGAAAUUGAUAAAUGUUCUAUAAAAAUAUAGUAAAUUAUUAAAAAUAUAUAUAUAUUUAAAAAAGUCAUACAUAUUAGUAAAGUUAUGUCAUUCAAUAAAGAGAGAAUUUUGUGCUGUUAUAAGAAUAAUAAGUUGACAUGAGAAUUGUUGUCAAUAUAAGACGACAUGAGUUCGAGUGUGCUGAAGUGUAUUAUCCUCUUAAUUAUGGGCUGGGGAGGGGCUAUGGAUAAUUCUAGACAUUAUGUCAAAAAGAGCAGAUAUGAUCAGAACCUAUAAUGAUUUUUUUCAAUAAAAAAACAACUCUUGCUAAAGUAAAUUAUAUAAAAAAAAAGAAAUAAAAUAUGAAAUGGUAUAAAAAUAAUAUUAUUUAAUUAAAAUACAUAUGACGAAUUGAAGCUUAUAAAAACUCAUAACAAUUUAAAUAUAUGAAAGAAAAAUACCAACAUAUUAUGAAUAUAUUCUUUAAAUUGACUCAUUAUUAAAAAUUAUGCAAAUGAAUUUAGAUACAACAUAAUACCAACACACGGAUCAUUCUAUAAAUUGAGUUCUACGAUAGCUUAUGCAACACAAAAUAUGAUGCAAAAUUAACUUAAACAAAUCAUGUAUUCAAAAGCACGUAAAAAAUUAUAAACAAUUAGGGCAAAAUCAAAAUUUUUUUUUAUGGAUGCAUGCUUAAGUGGUAUGUUUUUACGAUAAUAAAAAUGUAAUAUUAUUAUUUUAAUAUUUAUAUUUUUAUAAUUUUUUAAAGAUUAAAUUAAAUUUUUAUUAUUUUUAGGGAGCAAAGUAUAAUUUUACUAUUAUUAAUUUAAAAUUUUAUAAACUAUAAAAAGAAUAAAAAAAAUUAUUUUAAGAAGAGUCGGGCCCUACCAACACCUAUUCGAUCCGCCCUAUAUACAACAAAUUGUUAGCAUGUAGAAAUAUAUUUAUAAUAUUUUGAACCCACGAAAAUAACACAAAUAUAAAUAUAGUAUGAAAAUAGCAUAAAUAGAUAAGCGUGGUAAAGUCGUCCCUGUUACAAUAUUUCUUUUGUGUCAUGAACAUGGUAGUCAGUACUGUAUUGGAACUGGUCGAACCAACUGAUAUGUAUCGUUUUGAUCUUAAACCGGUAUUCAAACAAUGUUUGUUCUAUUUCAAUUAAAAUUUCGUUGUGUUUCUGUCAUUUCGAUGUGUUUCGUUCCGUUUCAGUCAAUACCAACUUAUAUAAGUGUAUACAAAUUUUUGAUAGUUUAAACUAAUUUUUAAUUUUUUUUUAUCUUAACUAUUUUAAAUUCCUAUAUUUAUAUUUAAAAUUAAAAGCUAUUAAAUUAAAUUAUUGAACAUAAUUAAAAAUUUUAAAAUUUAUUUAUAAAUAAAUAUAUUUAUAUGGAUGUAAUUGAGAUAUAUUUACAUGUAUAUAUAAUAUAUAAUUUAUUUUUUAUAUUUAUUAAGAAACUAAAAAGUUAGACUAUAAUUAUAUAUAUGGAAAAUAUUUAAAUGUAUAUAUAAUUUAUUAAGAAACUAAAAAUGAUGCUAUAUAUAUAUGUGAAAUUUUAAAACAUCGAUAAACCCAUAACGAUACACCGAAAUAUGCAAGUACCGGUACAUACCAAUACCAAGAUAAAAAUAGUAUAUCCACCGAUACGGUUCUGACUAACUUAGUCUUGAAUCUACUUGUUAGCUUUUGUUCAAUAAUCAUAAUUAAUCAUAUUCAAUAUAUAUUAUUUUAAUAAAAACUUUGGCACAUUGAUAAAUUUUUACGUACUUUUUUAAUAAAUUUGCCUAUUUAUAAUAUUUUUCAUAUAUUGGAUUCGAAAUUUUUAUGUCUAAUUAAUGAUGUUGAAAGUCGAUUAAGUCUUACCUCGAUUGGCAUAAGCAUUAUUGCCAGUGUAGGAAGACGUGGGUUCAAGUGCGUUAAAGUGUAUUAUCUUCUUAUUUAAGGGUUGGAGAGGGGCUAUGGACAGUUUUAGGUAUUGUGUAAAAAAGAAUAGAUAUGACCAGAACCUAUAAUGAGAUUAUAUGAUAUAUCAUAUAAGAAUUACUAAAUAUUUGAAUUAUUUUACUUAUUUAUUAUUUCUUUAUUACAAAUUAUCAAAUCAAAUAUUAUAAUAUCAUGUACAGUAAGGUGCGGGUAUUUCUCUGAUAUUUAUAAUAUGAAAAUACCUUGUUUAAAAAUUUUACUUAGCGAGAGUUUGACAUUGUUGGUAGAAAUCUUGAGGGUAUAAUAUUGAAUCCCAUCAUAUAGAAUUUAUGUGUGAACUGAUUAGUGGAUUAAUGAAACCAUCAUGUUCUUGAUUGAAUCUUGAUUACUAGUUAUUAAAAGUCGUAAGAAGCCAUGAAGAAGAGCUCAAGAGAACUAGUUAUUGCAGCCGCACUACAUUGUAAAACGAAGUACAUAGUCUUAAAAGAACACAAAUCAUGGUCAACUAAUGCAACUUCAUGAUCUGGUUUGCCAACUCAUUUAUUAUCUGCAUAUGUUUAUAUAUAUUCCAUUACAAAUUCGCCAAUGGAUCCUAUUCCUUUAGCUUCUCCAGCACAUUCAAGGUUGAGGUGGAAAUUAAUGGCAGUGUCGAUUAUACGUGGGUAUACAGGGCUGCUUCGUGGGAGGUUGUAUGCAGGAUUUAUAAGGCAUUCCACGGCCACAUGGUACAGCAGGUUUAUUCCUCCUAGGAGUGUUAAACACUGGUCGAUCAUUGAUGUCUGCAAAAUUAACAGCCACAUAAUUCUGUGUUGUAUAUAUAAUUAAAACCAUUCAUAAAAUUGGAAGUCAUAAACUUGUUGAUGUAAUUACGUACCCUUCGCCACCAGUUGUCGAGCCAUGGUUGAAGUAGGGAUAAAGAGAGUGGAAGCCAGGAGAAUGCAUACCAUCACUAAUAAUGCUUUCAUUUUGGGGGGUAUAUUGUUGUUGUUAAUAGUAGGUAGUUUGUGUUAAGGAUGGCCCUUCUUUCGACUACUAUUUAUAGGUCGAUAUCUCAAGUGUGUUGUGGCUACUUUUCAAAGAUAAUUUGUUAAUAAAUUAUUAUUCACUCUAUAAAACUAGCAAAAUUGACAAAGGGAGGACUGAAGAAAUUUCCACGGCAGGCAAUGGGUAAUAGCUAUUGUCCCUUUCAGUUUCACUUUCUGUCUUUUUAUGACCCAUAUUUCCACACACAAAUCAAAUUUGUAGCUGUUGUCGCUUUCAUUAUUCUCUCACUUGGAAAAUUAGAAACAUUGUUAGUGAUGGACUUUAUGGAUUGAACAGGUAAGGAGAAAAUUUAUUCGUAAAAUUUAUGUUUACCGAUACAUAUAAGGUAUAAAAAUAUAAUUUGUUGGAUCGCAUUUAUAUUUAUUGGGUCUAGUAAUAAAGAGUUUGAUGUGUUUUUAGGUUUGGAUUUUAUGGAUGAAAAAACCAAUACCGAAAAAAUUUUACCCUCUAUUUCAGAACUCAAUUUAAUGAAAAAAAUCUUGUUCAACAACAAUUAUUUUAGAAAGAAAAUAGACUUUUAUUAUACACUUGAUAAAUUGAUUUUUAAUUUCCAAUGAUUUGAUUUUAAUUUUUCUUAUAAUAUUUAUAAUAUAUGAAAAUAUAAUUUAUUUGAUGGCUCUUAUUAUACAGUUGAUAUCAACUUUUAAUAUGCAACUAUUUAAUUUUAACUACAAUUCAAUUUUGUCAAUGAAAGAUAGCAACAUUCACCCUAAGUCUCAAAGGUUGUAUGUUAGAUCAUGAUAAUAUGGACAAAUAUAUUAAUUACCGAGUACUAUACCAACAACAAAUAAGAAGCAAACAUAGGACUAUGAGGUAUUACUUAUCUCUCAUCUUUACCUUUUUCAUUAAGUUAUAUACUUUUACUCUCUCCAUAAUUAUGGAGAACAAUCAAAGCGUCAAAACCGACACCCCUUAAUUUACCCUUGAGUCGUGCAGAUCGAGUCAAACCCCUUGAAGCACCUCAACAAGCCUGAUUUACAACAAUUCAAAGAAGACUAAUAUUUGGGGCUACCUUUGAGAACGAAGCGAAAAUCCAUGGCUUAAUCUUCCCAACUCGAUAAGCUUCAAAAAUAUUUUUGAAGUUUUUGACAAGUUCAUACUUUUUCCAAUGGAGAUUUCAGUUUCAUAAAAUUUCACAAAUACAUUUAUCUCCAUCUUUUUGGUUUAUCGAAAGUUCCUCCAUUUUUAGUUCCAUAAAACUUUCAUAUUUGGGUUUCAUAAAGUUUCCCAAACACAUUUAUCUCCAUUGUUUGGUUUAUUGAAAGUUCCUACAAAAGAGUUUCUUAAAUUUCUCAUCUUUGGGUUCAAAAAGUUUUCUAAGCAAAUUCAAUCAAUCUCUAUUUUUUGGGCUUAUUGAAGCUUCUACCUUUAAACUUGAUUUUUGGGUUUCUUAAAGCUUUCAUCUUCGGGUUUUAUUUAGCUUCCCAAGCACAUUCAUCUCUAUAUUUCGGGUUUAUUAGAGCCAUUUUUUAUUUCUUAAAGUUUUUUAUCUUUGGUUUCCAUGAAGUUUACCAAGCACAUUUGGUCUCCAUUUAUGACUUUCUUGAAGCAUCCUCCGUUUUUGGGUUUCUUAAAGCUACCUUCAUAGUUGGGUUUCCUACAGCUUUUCCAAUAUACUUUACAAUCGCGUCUGUAGCACAGAUUUUGCAAUCAAAAUUUCGUAGUCCAUCUGCAAUUACGAUUCUGUAGCACAGUAGCAAUGAUUCUAUAGUCCAAAUUCUGUAGGCACGAUCUACAGUCACGUCUAUAGUCUAGUUUCUUCAGUCACGAUUGUAUCAAGAUUCUGCAGUCACGUUUGUAAUCUGCAGUGAUAUCUGUAGUCCAGAUUCUAACCACGAUUUUGUAGUACAUAUUUUGAGGUUAUGAUUAUGAGCUUAUCAUUUUAAGGGUGAGUUUGGAUGGGCGGUGCGUUUAUCUGCGGUUAGUGUAAAAACAGCGGUGGCGGUAAAAUUAGAUACUGUAGCGAUACUGUAACGUGAGACAAAAAGUAAGCUAAACGCACCGCACUGCACUCAAUCGCCCAUCUAAACCCACCUAAGGCUACUCUUAGACUAUAUAGAAAAACUCAUAUCAAACUUCUGAUACCAACUUAAAUGGUAGAAGACCAAAAAUUCAAAUUUCAAAAACGUUAAUAAUUGAAUAAAAAAAUUUUAAUUGACUGAUCAAAAUAAAAAUACUCUCAUGAACUUCAUGUAGCUUACCUAAUAAAAAUACUAGAAAGAUAGGAAGGUUGAAAUUUAUAACAAAGCAACUCCAAAAUCAAACAUCACAUGAACGUACAAGCAGUUUGGAGGUAGCUUGAAUUAUCAAAAGAAACUCUUCCAGAGGAAGACUUUGAUUUCGAUACAUGGGAUGGUAAUUGAAAGCCUUAGGAAGCCAAUGAUGAUGAGCUCAUGAUAACUCGUUAUUGCAGACACACUACAUAUGAUGAAACAAACUACAUAAUAGUCUUGAAAAAAACACAAAUCAUGGGCAGGUAAUGCAACUUCAUGAUCUGGUUUUUAUAUAUUCGCAUUACAAUUUCGCCAAUGGAUCCUAUAGCUUGCCCAUUACAUUCAAGGUUUAGUUGGCUACUCUUAGCAGUUGUGGCUAUAAAAACAGGGUGAGUUCAUAGAAGGAGUUCCAGGUCCGCAGUAUUUAUAAGACUUUCCACGGCCACAAUUUCGAGGUUCAUUAUGUUCACCCGCCGUAGCAGUGGUAAACACUGGUGGAUCAUUGAUGUCUGCAAAAUUAACAGCCAUAUAUUUCCCAUUUUAUUUAAAUAUAAGGCUAAAGUGCUAUAUAAGCGGAUAAAGGUAUAUAAGCCCUUGAACUUUUGCAAAAAAAUCAAUUAAGCCCUCCGCAGAAAACGUACUCAAUUAAGUCUUCAAACUCUCAAAUUGCAUCAAAUUUUUAUUUAUAAUUUUGAUAAAUUUUAAUAAUAUUAUUUAUUUAUUUAUAAUUUUAAAACAUAAAAUUUAUAAUUUUUUAAAAAUUUUAAGUCAAAAUCAAAUUGGGCAAGCAUUUGUCCAGGUCAUUCUAGUAAUUUUUCUUUUUACUUUUUUUGAAUUUUUUAUUUUUCAAAAAAAAUUUUAUUUUUAUUUUGUUGAUGUCAGCAACUGUCAUUGACAUGGAGCGCCAUGUGAGCGCUAUUGAUGGUCACAUCAAUACUGUAACGGUUAAAGAUGAUCAAAGGACUUAAUUGAUGCAAUUUGAGAAUUUGAAGGUUUAAUUGUAUACACUUUUUACGGAGGGGCUUGUUGAUUUUUUCGCAAAAGUUCAAGUGCUUAUAUACUUUUAGCCUAUAUAUAAUUAAAACCAUCCAUAUGUAAAAAAAACUUAAUAGAAUUGAAUAAUCAACACAACACAUCCAAGUUCUUAUCCAUAUAAUGUUUAACAUUUUGAUUGUGAUUCAACUUUACUAUACUAAUGUUAUACAUAUUGCUUUAAGAUGGAAAAUAAAUGAAAAAUAGAAUAAAAGUGUUAAAUUUGUUGGAAAUGUGACUUAUCCUUCUAGAUAAGUUAUAAAAAAAAAUCAAUAUAAUCAGACAUGCAAAACACUCAAAUUCUAAACUAUUUAAUAAUAAUUUGACUAGUUAUUGUAUGCGUAUACAUGUAAAUAUAUUGCUUGAUUAUAUAAAAUAAAAUUGGAGAUUUCUAUAGAAGUAAUAAACUUGUUGAUGUGAUUACUUACCCUUCUCCCCCAGAUGUCGAGCAAUGGUGAAAGUAGGGAUAAAAAGAGUGGAAGCCAGGAGAAUGCAUACCAUCACUAAUAAUGCUUUCAUUUUGGGGGGUAUAUUGUUGUUAUUAAUAGUAGGUAGUUUGUGUGAAGCAUGGCUUUUCUUUCGACUGCUAUUUAUAGGUCGAUAUCUCAAGUGUGUUGUGGCUACUGUUCAAAGAUAGUUUGAUAAUAAAUUAUUAUUCACUCUAUAAAACUAGCAAAAUUGACAAAGGGAGGACUGAAGAAAUUUCCACGGCAGGCAAUAGGUUAUAGCUUAUUUCUGUUUUUUUUAAUAAUUUUAUUAUAAGUUCUGAUUAUAUUUGCUUUUUUACACAAUGUUUAGAACUACCUAUAGUCCCUCCCUACUCAUAAGGAUAAUGCACUUCAGCGCACUCGAACUUACAUUCUUUUACAUUGAAAAUAAUGUCCAUACCAAUCGAAUUAAAGACUCAAUCAGCUACCUUCUAUCUUUUUAUGGCCCAUAUUUCCAUACAAAAAUCAAAUUUUUAGCGGUUGUCACUUUUAUUAUUCUCACUGGGAAAAAUAGAAAUAUUAUUAGUGAUGAACUUUAUGAAUUCAAGAUGUAAGGAGAAAAUUUGAGGAUCAAAUUUAUGUUUAAUUAUAUACAAUAUAUAAAAAUAUAAUUUGUGCGAUGUCAUUGAUAUUUGUUGGGUCUAGUAGUAAGGAGUUGAAUACUUUUUUAGAUUUGAACCUUGUAGAUAAAGAAAACAAUUUCAAAAAAACUUUAACCUCCAUUUAAGAACCCAAUUCAAUUCAACUUCAAAUUUAAUGAUCAAAUAUUAAAGGAUCUCAUGAAAAAAAUCUUGUUCAACAACAACUCUUUUAGAAAGAAAAUAGACUUUUAUUUUAUAGUUGAUAUAUUAAUUUCUUAUUUCUAAUGAUUUGAUUUUAAUCUUUCUUAUCAUAUUAUAAUAUAUGAAAAUAUGAUUUGAUGGCACUGAUACUUGUUGGGUUCAGUAGUAAGGAGGUCAAUGCAUUUUUGGGUCCUAAUCUUGUAGAUGAAGACAACGACACUAGAAAAACUUUACCCUCCAUUUAAAAACCCGCCUUAAUUAAACUUCAAAUUUACUUAUCAAAUAUUGAAGGAUCUCAAGAAAAGAAAAUCAUUUUCUACAACAAUUCUUUUAGAAGGAAAAUAGGCUCUUAUUGUAUAGUUGAUGUAUCAAUUUCUACUUUGCAAUUAUUUGAUUUUAGUUACAUUUCAAUUUUGUUAAUGAAAGAUAGCAACAUCCACCCCAAGUCUCAAAUGACUUGUUAGACCAUGAUAAUAAUAAGGACAAAUAUAUUAAUUGUUAAGCAUUACUAACUCGUACAAUGUGGGAUCACUUCUUACACCAAUACUAAAUAAAAAGCAAGCUUGAGGACCAAUCAUAGGACCAUGAGGUAUUACUUGUCUCUCAUCUUUAUCUUCUUCACUAAGUUAAUAUACUUUUACUGUCUCCAUAGUAAUGAAUCCUUAAUUAACUUAAGUAUCAAAGAACAAUUAAAAUGUCAAAUCCGAUGCCCCUUAGCUUACCCUUAAGUCAUGCAGAUCGAGUCAAGCCUCUUGAAGCACCUCAACAAGUUUGGUCUACACCAACCCAAAGAAGACUCUAAUAUGUGGUGCUAACUUUGGGAACUAAGCGAAAACCCAUGGAUUAGUCUUAACGACCUAUUAAGCUCCAAUUCUUUUCCCAAGUUUUUGUCUAAGCUCCUACUUUUUCCAUUAGAAAUUUUAUAAAACUUUCAUUUUUGGAUUUUAGAAAGUUUCUCAAACACAUUUAUCUCCAUUAUUUUGGUUUAUCGAAGGUUCUACUUUUUCAAUGUCGGUCAACAAUUGAUCAAAAUAAAAAAUGUUUUUUUCAUAUUUAAAUAUUUAAUAUUAUAACUUUCUAUUUUUAAUUUAAUUUAAUGUUUUUAUUUUAAACAAAACUAAUUGUCAUGUGAAAUUUUUUCAUUGACCAAAACAUGCCACGUGGCACUUUUUCAUUGGUCAAAGUUGUCUAACAGUUUUUUUAACGUUCGUUGUAAAAUGAACCGAAAAUAGAGGAAAUUGAUACUUUAAGUACCAAAUUGAAACAAAAAAAAAGAUACUAAAGCAAAAAAACAAACAAACAGAUAUGCUUUAAGAGCUAAAUUGUAAUACCCCGGAAUUUGAGGUUAGAAGUUUUGAGGUUGUGGUUAGGGUCAUUGAAUAGGUCAAGCAAUUGAGUGGAUUUUCGCGUUAUAAUGUCAAAAUAAGCUUGUUGGUUCAGUGGUGGUGAAUGUGUUAGUUUACCUUUAUAUUUUGGGUUCAAGUCCUCAUGUGUGUUUUGAGGAAUUAAUUGGUUUUGGUUUUGGUUUUGGUUUUUAAUUUUUAAAGGUUUACUUUUAAAAUUUGAAAGAGGAGGUUUUUUAGUUUCACGUUCUUUUCCAUUUCCCUUUUUUUUGUUCCCUCUGUUAUUUUUUGGUUCUUUCCCCAAAUUUCAGUUCAUUUGAUUUCUUGUUUUGUCCGUUUUACACUUAAGUUAUGUGUUGUUUGUCAAGGCUGAUCAUCCUCGUGUGUUUCGUUUUAUCGAAGGUGAAGCGAAUAGGUUUUGCUCAUGAGGGUUUAUGAUAGAAUUGAUUCUAUUUCUAUUAUUUGUUAAUUGAAAUUCUUAUAGUUUAAGUUUAUGUGUGAAAUUGAGGUUUCUGAACAAUUUGGUGAGAGUGAAUCGAUCGGUUCUUGGUGCUUGACAUCGUGUUCUAAGGUGUGUGUUAUGAAAUGGUUUAACUUCGGUAUCGAGUUGCGGUGGAAUUCGAUAAUGUCUUGUGUGUUUCUAAAAUUGGUUAUUUGAAGUAUCAUAUUGUUACUGAAUUGCAUGAAAUUCUUUAUGUUUUAGCAUAAUUCUGGGUUACCAAGGGUUGGGGAUCAUUUUGACAUCAAAAGCAUGAUUUUCAAGUUGUUUCGACGUGGUUUCAUGACCACACGGGUGGCCACAGAAGCCUGUGUUGUACACGGGCGGUCCACACGGUCGUGUGCUGUACACAGGCGGUCCACACGACCGUGUGUAAUUGGGAAUUUAAGGUUUUUGAUGAUUUUUGGUACCACAUGACCUGGCCACACAGGCAUGUGUCCCCACACGGGUGUGUGAGAUCUCCAUACGGUCGUGUCUCCUCUGUUUUUCAUUUUUGGCACUUUUGGACAGUGAGUUUCACGGGCAACUCAUACGACCAUGUAAAUUGGUCACACGGGCAUGUGUCUCCUCCACAUGGGCGUGUAGGCCUCUAAACGGCCUAGACAUUUCCACACGAUUGGGGCACAUGGCCAUGUGGCCCUAUUUUGCAGAAUUUUUGUUUUGAGUCAUAAACUGUCUGUUUUAUGUUUCUAUGUAAUCCGACCCUUAGUCAAGCCUCGGUAAAUAUGUUUGGGAUUCGAUUUAGUUUGGUUCAUGUAUAUGUGUGUUUAUAGGCUUUCAUUUUAUUGCUCAUUUAUGUGAUGAAUAAGUAUGAUUUUAUUAUUGUUGUUGUAACUGAAUAUUAGAAUACAAGUGUAAUCAAAUCUGAAUCUGUUCAACUGGAAAUGUUAAUAUUCGUUUCUGUAUGUUGUCAGUGUAAUGUGUGCAUUGUUGCAUAGCAUGAAAAUUUUGGGAUCUGGUUAUGAAGAGAAGGAAGAUAAACUUAGUAGCUUUAACUGCGAUACUUUUGUACAGCAGUUUACCGCACUAUCCUAUACGUAUAUCAGCUCAGCUAAAUACAGUUUCUCAAGUGGCAUAGUUCCACAUUGUAGUAUGUAGGAUGAACCUAUUAUGGUUCUAUAUGGUGCGCAAGGUGGACGAGCCUACCAUAGCCCUAAUGUGGUGUGUUGGAUGGACGAAGUGGUGUUUGGUUGGUGGGGUGGGAUUUUUGAGGUGUUACAUAAAUUCUGGGGUGUUCGGGUGUUACAUAAAUUCUGAACUAAGCCUUUUUUAUUUUAUAAUAGCAGAAAAAACACAUUUUUUUAUCAUAUUGUAUUAUUGAUCCCAAUUAAUCUUAUAUCAGAUUUAAAAGAUAAAUGAAACAAUAAGUACUAUAGUCUAUAUCCAUAUUUCUUCCUUUUCCCUUCACUUGGAAAAUUUUAUAUAAAAAAAAUGCCAUUAAUCCAAGACUUUUUGCGGCGAAUUUUAGUAUAAAUGUCACUAUAUUUAUGGUGCCAAAAUAUUCACAUGAAAUUGUUGUGAAGCAGGUGAUGAAACUUGAAAUUAGUGACGUUUUAUACAGUAAACGUCGCAACUUUUGUCACAAUGGGUGGUGUGUUACUUUGAAAUGCAGCGGUUAAAAGUAAUACAUGGCGACAUUUUUUUCUAAAAGCACCACUAGUUAUGCCAUUGUAUGUAGAAUUUGAUAUAGUGCUUGGUCUCUCUCUAAUUCUAAUAUUAUCAUUGAUAUCUCCACUAAGAUCUUAAGUGAUUCUUUUUGACCCCUGAAUAAUAGUUGGAGUUGUUCAAUGUUGUUAUCUAAGUCAUCAUUUAGAUCAAUAAUAUUGGUUUCAUAAGUAUACAAUAGGCAUUUCAACAAUAUUUUUUUUUAUACAAUGCUUAGAAUUAUUUAUAAUCAUUCCUCAAUUCUUAAAUGGGAGGAUAAAUACAUUUUAGUGUGCUCAAAUUCACGUUUUCGUGUACUAGUAACAAUGACAAUACCAACAUUAACCAAAAUAAGACUUAAUCAACUUUUGUAAUAAUGUCUUUAAUGCUUAAUGCAACGGUGACUGAGUCAAGCACUAGUGUAGUUAAUAAAUUAUUAUUUAAUUUUUAAAUUAAUAUCUAAAUUUUAUAAAAUUUUGGCUAUUAAUUAAUUAUUAUAUAAUUCUUCUCAAAUGAUAGAAAUAUUGACUGACAUCAAGUCCAUUCACUAAGAUAUGUUUAUUGAUAAUUUCAAAGCUAUCAUAUUGUAGUUGAAAGAAAAGAAUCGAAAAUGAAAUAUCAAGAAAUUUGGCUGGCAAAAGCAAUAAAUGAGUGCAUUAAAAUUUACUACUUAUUUUUCACACAAAAUAAUUAUAGCUCUUUUCUUUUUCUUUAUGCACAUUAGAGGCGUUAAUAGGCAAGGUUGGAUUUUAUAUUUUUUUAAGCUUGGCCCGACUUAUAAUAAGUACUUGAUUUAUAGUGGUAUCAAAAAAUACGAUUUCGAGACUCUAUUUUCAUCAACCGAGUCCGUAAAUAUUAAAUAGGGAUAUUUACGGAGUUGGUGUAUAAAUAAAUUGAAAUUGGAUUAAAUAAUUUAUUCAAAAUUCUGGUUAAUUAAGACUUAAGGAUUAAAUUCGCUAUAAAUUUUUAAUUAGGAAAAUACUUGGGGACUUAAAUAGCGAUUAUCCAUAAGACUAAAAUAGUUGAUAGACCAACUUCAAAUAUACGAUGGUGGGAUGUGAUGUUAAAAUGUCUUUAGAUUAAAUUAAUUAAUGUUUAAUGUUUAAUUAACUUAAUUAAUUAAGUUUAAUUAUAUAUGUACAAGCCCAAUUUCGCCCGGGCCUAAACAAACAAAACAGGCCCAUACCAGCAAAACCCAAAACAAAACAGCAGACCCAAAAUUAAAACAAACUUAACCCAAACCCUCUACCCAAUUACAACCGGCCCAAUAACCCAACUACCCAAAUAGCCCAGAUCAGAAAAACAAACAGCAACCCUAACCCUAGGUCUUCUGACACUUAACCUACCAGCCGCCACCGCCGAACGUUAGUCACCAUCGCCCAUUGUCCUCACCUGCUCCACCUGCAAACACGCAAGCAAAAAAGGACAAAACAGCAGUAGAAACAAUAGAAAAAUUGUAAAAUGGCUAUUUAAAAGCCAUUCAAACAGAUCUAACAGAGGGGGAAUCGGUUUUAAAAAACCAAUCUUUGCAUCUGUAAAAGGUCUCUUUUUCACAAACAUUCAAGAAAUAAAAUACAACAUUUUCAAGAAGAUAUAUUUUCUGUUUAGGUAUUUACUUAGGUUAUUUUACUCCUAUUUUUAUUUAUUUUUUAUUUUAUAUACGAAAACAAAAAGAAAAGGGAAAAAGGAACUCACAGGGACUCGCUCCGUCUUCUCGCCGUCGGAGGCUCCUUCUCCGGUGACGGAACAGAUUGAAGAGAGGCAUAGCGGCCCUUUCCCCUUUAUUUUCGGUUGUUUUGAGGCUAGAUCUGAACUUAGGGGGUCGAGAUAAAAAAAUAAGUUUUUUUGCAUUCGCCAGCCACCGUGCGCGGCGGCGCCGACGCCGGCGACCGGUAUCCGGCACGGUGGCCAUUGGUCGGGUUAUGAACUAAAGGGGAGAGGUUUUUUUUGACUGAAAGUUGGUUUUUUUAGGGGGAAGCAGAUAAUGAAGCUUUUAAAAAAAUUUGAUUUAUAAAAGAAUAAAACGACGCCGUUUUAGGCCCUAGCUCCAGGCGCCAAAACGACGCCGUUUAAGAGCCAACCCGAUCUACCCGACCCGCUCCAGGCCAAGAUCAGCGUGUUUUUGAGCGGAAGGGCUAAUUCCGUUUUCAGCCCUUCUGCUCUUUAAUGAUUUUGCAAUCAAGUUCUUUUUGUUUUUUAAUUUCGCCAUGCGAUAUUUUUUUCUUUACAAUCUGGUCCGCUUUGAAGCUAUGCGUUUUGGAGGGACGGGAUUAUUUCCCUAUUGGUCCUCCUUCUUUCAGCGCGCGUUACAAUUUAGUUCAUUUUGUCCUUUUUUAUUUCGAUUUCGCCCCGAAUUUUUGGCUUUUACUUCGGUUUAGUCCCUUUUUUAGCAAUUUUAUUAUUAUUAUCAUAUUUUAUUAUUAUUAUUAUUAUUAUUAUUAUUAUUAUAUUAUUAUAUAAUAGCUUAAAUAUACAUACACGUAUACCUUUUUCUUUAUAAUUUAUUUAAUAUAUAAAUACUUUUUUAUAUGCAUAUCUAUAUACUUUUUCUUUCUUUUUCUCACGAAUAUAUUUUGUAUAUUGAAAUAUAGUUUCCUUUAUAUAUAUUUUUAUCUUAUUUUUAUAUAUCUCACAUGUACAUAUUUAUCUACAUAUCUUUUUAUAAUAUUUAUACGUAUUUAUGCAUCUUAUUUAUAUGUUACGGUUUAUUAUUUCACAUAUUAUCGAUUCGUUCUUUUUCUUUAUUUUAUUUUUAUUAUUGUCCGUAUUAUUUUUAUAUUUUUGUGUGCAUUAUGAUUUUACCAUGCAUAACAACAAUGUAAUUUGCUUUCACAUUUUUUUACUAUGAUUUUCGUGUUUUAUUUUACUCGAUAUAACAAAAUUUGUUUUAAAAAUGGCAUUUCGUGUUUAGAUUCGAGAAGAUCGUACCCUAACUUACUGGGUUUCGAUUUUCAUGAUAAAUCUAAAUGCACGAAUCUUUUCAAACUCAAGUUUUAAAUGAUCUCGGGAUUUAAAAAAAAUCACGUCCUAACUUACUGGUCGUGAUUCAUUUUUUUAAAAUCCGAGAUAGCUAAAAAAUAAGCAUUUUUUACGUAUCGGGAAUUCGAGACAUUGUGUCCUAACUUACUGGAUAUGAUUCUCUUUCUCGAUUAACGUGAAAUAUGCUUCUUUUCCCCAAAAUUUGCAUUUUAAUACAAGGAUCGCGUUUUUAAAAUUCUUCAAAGUUUUCAAUUUUCGACAUUAAGACAUUAACUAAUCAACUAGGUACCAAUUUUGGGCGUUACGAGGGUGCUAAUCCUUCCUCGUACGUAACCGACUCCCGAACCCGUUUUUCUAAAUUUCGUGGACCAAACUUGUUGUUUUAAUAAAGCUAAAUUGUUUAUUAAAAACAACCACUUUUCAAGGUGACCCGAUCACACCUCAUCAAAAAGGAUCGAUGGCGACUCCCAUUUUCGUUUUCUUUUUUUAAAACCCAAGUCGACCCCGUUUUCAUCCAAAAAAUGGUGUAAACAGCUUGGCGACUCCACUGGAGAAGUAAGAUUCAAGAGAGUCAAGCCACGAGUUGAUUAUUUCUUUUCUUUUUGUUGAAAGUUGAAAAUCUGAUUUAAAUUUACGAUCCUCUCAUUGCAUUUCAUUUGUUUUGAGUUAUGGUUUUCAUCAUGCUUCGUAUUCUAAAUUUUUAUAUCUUUGCACAUUACAUUGCAUGGCCGUUGGUCACUCCUUUUAAGUGGGAGUGAGAAACUACGCCUUCGUGAGGUUUUCACCUCCGCAUGGGAUAGUGAAUCGCUUCCGGGAUACAUCUGUACCUAUGUCUUUGUGAGAUUUUCAUCUCCGCAUGGCCAUAGGGACAUGUAUCCCCCUGAACUGAACUCGGUCCGCAUGAGCCUAUAAUGGGUGAGAAUCGAGGAAUCUGCUGGUUCGGGUACCUUUGCUUUAGAAUUAAACCACAUGUAGAGCACCUUAGGAUCCCACCCUAGGUAGAACUACUUCAAAUCCCUAGUGGUUACCCGACUAGGUACUUUUGUUUUCCUUGCUUGUUUAUGUUUCCUACUAACCUCUCUUGUCGUGUUUUGACUGAGAUUGAAUUGCAUUUGCAUCUUAGGAAGGAGAUAUUGAUUCAAGUUUGAUUACUAACUUAGAAAGCUUGUCAUGGAAUACGGGUUCCUUGAUAAAGUGGAAGACAAUACGCUUGCCUGACUAUAUUUUGAGAAACACAAGAAGAGCGAUGAAAGAGUUCGUGGCCUUGCUUCAUGGCCUGAGGAUUCAAGGCGAUCGUCUGAGAGCCUUCGACGUUCCAACCCCUUAAUGAAGCUGACGAGCCUUACGAAGAUGGGUAGAUGGUGGAUCGCGACCAAGAUCAAGAAAAGGAGCUGGCAAUGGCAUCUAUUGGCGAGAUUACCUCAAACGUGUGGAUAAAGAAAAAGAUCGAUAUUGUCUCUUAGAAUAUAAGGGCGAAGCCGUACAUGCCUCUGCUUUAUAUAAAGAAAUUUACUUUCUAGAAAAGUUUUCUAAAUAUAAUUGAAUCAGAUUCAAUGUCUCUUUAGGCAUUCAUUUCAUGCAUCUGCAUUACAUGCAUUAAAAUCCAUUAAAAGAGUCUAAUUGAAUAAAUUUAUUUCAGCUAACCUGGAAAACCAACCAACCCAACACUCAUACGGUAUCCAAGCAAAGGUUAGAAAAAUGGAACGAAGGUUGGAAAAAUUAGAGCGAAUGCAAAAGCAGAUACAGGAGCAAUUGACUGAAUUUCAACAGGAGAUGAGAGAUCAAAUGCUAGAAUUACGGAGAACCAUGAUGAGCCAGUUCAACCGAUUGCUAGCUGGAAAGUCAAAAGAAAUGAAAGACUCGGUGGUUUACUUUGGGGUAGAUAAUGAGGAUUUUGCCUAUUCCUUAGAUUGUACUCCGACAAGUGUCCAGGUCCAGCCAGAUGGGCGUCCACAAGGGGUACUCUUUACUAUCGGAUCCCAAUAUUAUCAGACUGGUACAUCGACACCAGUGAAUUGCCUGACAGGUCCAGGAUCCAAUUUGAGGAAUAAUUUAGCUAAUCCUAUUGCUAAUCUAGAAGAAAUAAAACAGAUGAGGGUAGAGUACCCAGAUACUAUAAAGGUCCCAGGGAAAAAGGAGAAUAAAAGGGAUAAUGCAGGCGGACGUAACAAGGGCCACUCAAAACCAAUCACUGUGGGCAGGCUAAAGACGGAAACCACCAGCCAUCAGAGCCCUUUAAAGCAAGAAUCUAGAGUGAAACCAGGUACUGAAAAGCUCCAGUUCACACCAAUUCCGAUGUCAUAUAAGGAGCUGUAUCAAAGCUUGUUCGAUGCGCAUGUUGUUGCUCCUCAUUACUUGAUCCCUUUACAGCCUCCGUACCCCAAAUGGUACGACGCAAACGCACAAUGCGACUACCAUGCUGUAAUUACGGGGCAUUCAAUAAAGAAUUGCAUUGCCUUCAAGAAGCUAGUCGAAAAAUUCAUCAACAUGGGUAUUGUCAAGUUGGGUGACUCAUCUAGUGCAGAAAGCCAUCUACCCAAUCAUAUUGAUAAUGGGAUGAAUGCGAUGUAUGAAGCAAUGUUGGAAAGUGUUCACAUCAAUGGCAUAUAUGAGGACAGAAUUGAAAAGGGAACUUGUUAGAUGACCCGCCCUUAUAAAUUUGGGAGCAUUCUAAGCGAUUGGACUGCAGAAGAAAUCCUUGUAGUUUUUAGAGCUUAUUUAGAGUAAUGUUCAGAACAUUUUUGUUGUUUUUAGCCUAAAAGUGAUAGAAAUUCCUUUGUGAAAUAGGCUAAUGUCUGAAGGUCAUUAUUCUAAUAAAAUACAUCUUUGCAUUCCUUUUUGAGCCAAUAUUCUUUCAUUCUUUUUGAAUAAUUAUUUCUGAUUAUUUCAUUCUUUUGGAUUUUCUCCCACAUCAUUCAUUCAUUCAUAAUCAUAUUAUAUAAAUAAUUAUUCAUAAAUUUAUACAUUCUUUUGUAUAUUCUUUGGUACUUAUUAUGAGUCCUUAGAUAUCAAUGACAUGAAUGAAACUACUGCAAACUCAGAUUUUCUACUUGAGCGAGGCAUGUGUUUAGACGGAUCUCAUGACUUUGGAAAUGACAUAGAUCGUAGCUUAUCUCCAGACUUGGUAAGGAGGGUGGAACAAGAAGAUAGACACAUUCUACCUAUCAAGGAAUCAUUAGAAAUUGUGAGCUUGGUGAAUAUUAGAAUUGACUUGACCGUAAAGACGAAGCAAGACCUUGUUGAGUUACCUCUAGAGUUCAAAGAUGUCUUUGUAUGAUCAUACCAGGAUAUGCCCGAAUUAAUCGCUGAUAAUAAAAUCUGCACAGCAGCACAUUUUCAGAAAUUUGCAGUGAACGAUGCAAUUCUUUGUCAGGGCAAAUGCCUUUCUCGUUGACUCAGCAUAGCUUUGCCCAUUUGAAGUUGAGCUUCCAUCUCUUCAAGUUCUAUGGGAUUUUAUCCUGAUUAAAGAGGGAGAUCAAAAGUUUUCUAUUGUAGUUUUGCCCCAGAAGGUUCUAUGAAGGAAAUCUGAUCAAAGAAGAUCCUUCGAAAGGGAUAACAAGGACUUGCCUAACCCUAUGAGUUCAUAUUCUAAAAAAAGGGCAAAAAGAAGGAAAAAAAAAAGAAAAAUCAAAGUCAAAAGAAAAAAAGAAAAAAAGAUCAAUCAAAGUCAAAAAUAAGAGAAAAAGAAAAAAAAAGAGAAAAGGAAAAAGAAAAGAAAAAGGAGAGGUCAAGGCGAAAACCCGCAAAGGGCGCUUUGACCAAAGGUGGAUUUGAGUUGAAAACCCAAAAAGGGCGACUCAAAUUUUGAGCGAAAUGGGGCAUGGACAUCACCAUUAUCGAAGACUUCUAAUGGGCAUUGCUUUAUUUUUUGUGAGGCUACUUCAUGGAUCAAGGUCAUCCUAUACCGAUACAGAAUUUCAAGAGAAUAACAUUGAAAAAUGCAUUGGACUUAAAUGAUAGCACGAUAACUGAGGUCUGAAAUCAAUUCAGAAGCAGAUACCACGUUUUGUCACUGAAUUACCUAAAGGUGAACAAGGACUGGCAUGGGAAAUUACUAUUUGCCCUCAUUGGUUGUCAAACAUCUGUACUGGGUUAACACCUCUCUUUUUGGUUUACAGGAUUGAGGAAGUUUUACCUAUUGAAAUCCCCUCAUUUCUUGUUGAAGGGAUCCAAUCGCGAUAUGAUCAGUUGGCCCUAGGAAAAGGUUUAAAAGCUAUUCAUCAAGGUCAGAUGUACCAAAAAUAGAUGAUACGAGCCCAUGACAAACAAGGUCGUCCCAAAGAAUUCCACAAGAGGGCUGGAUGUUGAAAGAAGAUCCUUCCUCAACGAAAGGAUUCUAGAGGGAAAUGAAUGCCAAACCGGGAAUGUUCCUAUGAUGUAAAGAUGACCAUUUUUAGAGGUGUACUGAUCCAGAGUGAGAUUGCUAAUCCUAUAAACUCGGAUCCAGUCAAGAAAUACGUCAUUUAAAGGAGAAUAAAGGACCAAGGUGAAAACCCGCAAAGGGUACUUUGAGUAAAAAAAUGAAAAGUGAAAAAUGAAAAAUGGAGAGGCUAAGGGGAAAACCCGCAAAGGGCAUCUUAGGCCAAAGGGGAUUUGAGUUGAAAACCCGAAAAGGGCGGCUCAAAUAUUGAUCAGAAUGGGGCAUGAGGUGAUCAGAGCAAUUCAAAUUUUGAUUAGAUUGGGGCAUGUGGUGAUCUUGUUAUACCUGAAUUAACAAGAAAGGGUAGGCGACAUCUUGGGGCAUCAACAAAGCAAUAUAGAUCUCCUAAACACAUGUCAAACUCAGAAUGGUCUUUAGAAAGUUUGUACAAAGAAGUUCAAGCUGUGAUAUCUGGGGCACCCAAUUCUCAUAUUAUUGAAUUUGGUAUUCUUGGAAUACUUCUUUCUUUUCCAAGAUACAUGUUCCAAUCAAUUCCUAUUUUUAUUCUUGCUAUCCUUGAUAAUUUAUUCAUUUCUAGCUAUGCUCUCAAAUCAAUUCUAUUUUAUCUAUCGUUAUGAUCUUUUGCAAGUAUGUUGCAUUAGAAUAAUGAUUAAUAGACUAAUAAUACUUUUGCAAUGGAAGUUUUGCAUAUUACUCUAAAAGUUUCAAAAUAAUACAGGAACCUGAAACAGGACUAUUGUUUAGAACGCACCAAGUUUAAAGGAUGGAAAAAUAAGAAGGAAAAGUUUAAAUUAAGACUUUCUCUUUGGAUUUUGUUGUCAAAAACAUUGAUUGAACAAAAUGACAAGAUGUCGUGUUGGUGACAAAGCUUCAAUGAACAAACAAGCAAUGAUCACCGAGUGAUAAGAAAAGGUUUUCUCGGAGAAGAAAAUUUUGCAAUUGUGCAUGAGCAUUUGAUAUGACACACUGGGAAUGGUGUAGGAGACCAAAGAGUUUCACAUUCUGUAUCAUUGAAUUAUGAUAACAGAGGAUCGAGAAAAAGGCCAGGUCUUUCUAUCCUUGGGUUAUAGAGGGAGAAAGAUUAUUCAAAUUUUGUAUCCAGUGGAUUGAACCUUGAAGAUUAUAGUGGGGGCAAUCCGACCAAGUAAGAGAUGAGCAUUACCAACCGGACAAGAUAGCAUUCAGAUGCGAUGGCAAUAAAGCCUUAUUUAGCAAGGGGCAAUAACAACUCAAACAUUGAAAGAUCAUUUUCAAUUUGCAUUCAUGCAUACACAUUUAGCCAGGAUAUUUUGAUUCAUUUUGAUCAUAAUCACUAGGCAUAAAUAGGUUCAUAUAGGUCAUGUUCCCUAGAGAACAGACCAAUGAAGUUGCAGAUCUUGCUUUCCUGCACUGACAGCGAAACAGAUCGAAGAAACCAUAGAUUGCAAUUCAAAGAUUGAAGCCACAACGGUGAAUCUUACUCCCAGGAAAUGCAGCGGAGCAGAUUGAAGCUACAACAGCGAAUCUCACUUCCCUGACAUUGCAAUUCAAAGAUUGAAGCCACAACGGUGAAUCUUACUCCCAGGCGAUGCAGCGGAGCAUAUUGAAGCUACAGCGGCGAAUCUCACUUCCCCGACAUUACAAUUUAAAAUAUUAAAGCUACAACAGUGAAUCUCACCUCCUUAGCGAUGUAGCGGAACAGAUCGAAGCUACGACGUUGAAUCUCUCUUCCCUGACAUCGCAGUUUAAAAGAUCGAAGCCACAACGGUGAAUCUUACUUCUAGGCGAUGCAGCGGAACAGAUUGAAGCUACAAUAGCGAAUCUUGCUUCCUCGACAUUGCAAUUCAAAAGAUCGAAGCCACAAUGGCGAAUCUUGCUUCCAAACGGUGCAGCAGAACAGAUUGAAGCUACGACGGUGAAUCUCACUUCCCCGACAUUGCAAUUCAAAAGAUCGAAGCCACAACGGCGAAUCUUAUUUCCCAGGCAGUGUAGUUGAAUAGAUUGAAGCUACAACAGUGGAUCUUGCUUCCUCGACAUUACAAUUCAAAAGAUUGAAGCUACAACAGCGAAUCUUACCUCCCUGGCGAUGCAGCGGAACAGAUUGAAGCUACAACGGUGAAUCUCACUUCCCCGACAUUGCAAUUCAAAAGAUUGAAGCCACAACGGUGAAUCUUACUUCCCAAGCGAUGCAGUGGAGAAGAUUAAAGUUACAACGGCGAAUCUCACUUCCCCGACAUUGCAGUUCAAAAGAUUGAGGUCACAAUGGCGAAUCUUACUCCCAGACGAUGCAGCAGAGCAGAUUGAAACUACAACGGCGAAUCUCACUUCCCCGACAUUGCAAUUCAAAAGAUUGAAGCCACAACAGUGAAUCUUACUUCCCAAGUGAUGCAGCGGAGCAGACUGAAGCUACAACGAUGAAUCUCACUUCCCCGACAUUGCAAUUCAAAAGAUUGAAGCCACAACGGUGAAUCUUACUUCCCAAGUGAUGCAGCAGAGCAAAUUGAAGCUACAACGGUGAAUCUCACUUCCCCGACAUUGCAAUUCAAAAGAUUGAAGCCACAAUGGUGAAUCUUACUUCCCAAGUGAUGCAGCGGAGCAGACUGAAGCUACAACGGCGAAUCUCACUUCCCCGACAUUGUAAUUCAAAAUAGUGAAGCCACAAGGGUGAAUCUUACUUCCCGAACAUCAUAGUUAAAUAGAUCAAAGAUGGCAGAUUUUACCUUCCUGUUACUACAGUAGAGUACAUUGAAGCUAGUAAUUCUAUCUCCCUGGUUGGCAGUGGAAUAGAUUGAAGAGGCAACAAGUCUUAUCUCUCUGACAUUGCAGUGGAGCAGACUAGAACCACAAUCUCAUCCCCUUGAAGUUGCUGCAAAGAAGAUUGAAGCUACAAGUCGGAUCUUGUUGAAGUGCAGUGGAGUGGAUUGAAGCGACAAGACACAGUAGACUGGAAUGAGGCUACCUGAAGAAGAGAAGCGUCAAGAGAAGUUGAGACUCGACGAGCCCGGGCAAAAUUGGUCUUUCUUAGUUUUUGCCCUGUUCUCGUUACAAGACAACGAGCAAAGAGGGGCAGCUGUACAAGCUCAAUUUCGCCCGGGCCUAAACAAACAAAAUAGGCCCAUACCAGCAAAACCCAAAACAAAACAGCAGACCCAAAAUUAAAACAAACUUAACCCAAACCCUCUACCCAAUUACAACCGGCCCAAUAACCCAACUACCCAAAUAGCCCAGAUCAGAAAAACAAUCAGCAACCCUAACCCUAGGUGCGCCGCACCUAGGGUCUUCUGACACUUAACCUACCAGCUGCCACCGCCGAACGUUAGUCACCAUCGCCCAUUGUCCUCACCUGCUCCACCUGCAAACACGCAAGCAAAAAAGGACAAAACAACAGUAGAAACAAUAGAAAAAUUGUAAAAUGGCUAUUUAAAAGCCAUUCAAACAGAUCUAACAGAGGGGGGAAUCGGUUUUAAAAAACCAAUCUUUGUAUCUGUAAAAACAUUCAAGAAAUAAAAUACAACAUUUUCAAGAAGAUAUAUUUUCUAUUUAGGUAUUUACUUAGGUUAUUUUACUCCUAUUUUUAUUUAUUUUUUAUUUUAUAUACGAAAACAAAAAGAAAAGGGAAAAAAGAACUCACCGGGACUCGCUCCGUCUUCUUGCCAUCGGAGGCUCCUUCUCCGAUGACAGAAUAGAUUGAAGAGAGGCAUAGCGACCUUUCCCCUUUAUUUUCGGUUGUUUUGAGGCUAGAUCUGAACUUAGGGGUCGAGAUAAAAAAAUACGUUUUUUUACCUUCGCCGGCCACCGUGCACGGCGGCGCCGACGCCGGUGACCAGAAUCCGGCACGGUGGACAUCGGUCAGGUUAUGAACUAAAGGGGUGAGGUUUUUUUUGAGUGAAAGUUGUUUUUUUAGGGGGAAGCAGAUAAUGAAGCUUUUUUAAAAAAAUUUGAUUUAUAAAAGAAUAAAACGGCGUCGUUUUAGGCCCUAGCUCCAGGCGCCAAAACGACGCCGUUUAGGAGCCGACCCGAUCCGCCCGACCCGUUCCAGGCCAAGAUCUGCGUGUUUUUGAGCGGAAGGGCUAAUUCCGUUUUCAGCCCUUCUGCUUUUUAAUGAUUUCGCAAUCAAGUUCUUUUUGUUUUUUAAUUUCGCCCUGCAAUAUUUUUUUCUUUACAAUCUGGUCCGCUUUGAAGCUAUGCAUUUUGGAGGGACGGGAUUAUUUCCCUGUUGGUCCUCCGUCUUUCAGCGCGCGUUACAAUUUAGUCCCUUUUGUCCUUUUUUAUUUCAAUUUCGCCCCGUAUUUUUGGCUUUUACUUCGGUUUAGUCCCUUUUUUAGCAAUUUUAUUAUUAUCAUCUUUUAUUAUUUAUUAUUAUUAUUAUUGUUACUUAUCAUAUUAUUAUAUAAUAGCUUAAAUAUACAUACACAUAUACCUUUUUCUUUAUAAUUUAUUUAAUAUAUAAAUACAAAAAAUAUAAAAACCAAAUAAAUAAAGCCAAGAAUUAUAACCCAAUAAUAAACAAAAAAUGGCCCAAAUGUCAUUAGCCCAAUACCCAUUGCAAACCCUAGCCCAAAUAACCUAAACCUAACAGCAAACAAAAUCUAGCAGCCUCCAGCACAACAUCCAGUCGUCGCACGACUCUGAACCAGCCCUCCGCCACGUCUGCCUACAAAACGGACUAGGGGAGUCCAAUACCAACACAAACGCAGUGUAAAAGUAGAGAAAAUAGGAAAAUUUCGAGCUAUAAAAGGCCCCGAUUCUAUGUAUGAUUUUUUACGAAUAAAUAAAAAAGGAAAACGGAGAAAUCAAGUCAAGUACCAGUCUUUUACAAAGGUAGUUUUUUAUUUCGGCUUAUUUAUUUAUUUGUUCUAAAGAAAACGAAAAUAAAAAGGUUAAAAAUCAUACAUUUAUUGCGGAGGAGGUGCCGAUUCCGAUGAAAAUUGGCGUUCCAUGGGUCCGGGGAUUGAAAAAACCAAAAAAAUGGUGACUUUUCAUUUUUCGGCCAUCGUGGGCAGCGGCCACCGCGGUGGUCCGACGACCGGAUAUUGGCCGGAAAGGGGAAAGCUGAGAGAGAGUUGAGAGAAAAGAGAGGUUUUUUUUAAAAGGAGGCUACAAAUGUAUUUUUAGGGUUUUUUUUACUUAUAUAGACACCCCAAAACGACGUCGUUUUGGGCUUGGCUUUUGAUGCCCAAAACGACGUCGUUUCAGGCCUUUGACCCGGGCGGUGACCUGACCCAGGGGAAGGAUCUGCGUGUUUUUGGAAUUUGAGUUAUUCACCCUUUCUGUCCUUUUUCUUUUUUGGUUUAUUUUAAUUUAGUCCUUUUUUCUUUUAUUAAUUUGACCAUUAAACUUUUACAUGUUUCAAUUUAGUCCCUGGCUCGCUAGAAGGGACAUGUGUCCAGGGAAUCGGGCUAUUUGCCCAUUUUGUCCUCAACCUUUGCGCGCCAUUUGACUUUAGUCCUCUUUAUUUAUUUAUAUAUGAUUUUUACCCUUUAAUUUCAUUUUUUGUCCCGAUUUAGUCCCAAACCAGUUAGACUUCAAUUUAUUUUUGCCGAUUAUUUAUUUAUUUAUUUAUUUUAAAUUUUUCUAUUAUUAUUUACUUCAGUUUUUUUAUAUAUUAUGCAUUUUAAACUAUAUUAAAUUAUUAUUCAUUUAUAUAUCCAUAUGUUAUUGGUUUUAAUUCUAGUUGUAUUUUAAAUUUCGUCUAUAUAUUAUUUAUUAUAAGCUAUAUACAUUUUCUCCUAAAAUUAUUAUUACUUAUUUUAUAUUUUCCUAUAAUAUAUAUACCACAUCUUUAAAUACCUUUAUAUAUAUGUAUUAUGUUAAAUAUGUGUGACAUUUUUUUUAAAUGAUUUUAUUUAAACUUGCUCCAUAUAUGUUUUCUUAUUUUGAAUUAAUUUGCAUACUCGUUGUUUCUAAAAAAGGGUUUUUUUUUUAAAAUUGUUCUUAUAAUAUAUUUGUUGACACCAUUUUUUUAUAAAACGGAGUCGACUUGGAUUUUAAAAAUGAAAACAAAAAACGGGAGUCGCCACCAAUUCUUUUUGAUGAGGUGUGACCGGAUCACCUCGAAAAGUGGUUGUUUUUAAUAAACGAUUUAAUUUUAUUAAAACAACAAUUUUGGUCCACGAAAUUUAGAAAAACGGGUUUGGGAGUCAGUUACAAACGAGGAAGGGUUAGCACCCUCGUAACUCCCAAAAUUGGUACCUAGUUGAUUAGUUAAUGUCGUAGUGCCGAGGAUUGAAAAUUUUAAAGAGAUUUAAAAUACGAUCUUUUAUUGAAACAUUUGUAUAAAUCAAAUUACUCGUUAAGACUCUCCCAUUUCAGAAAAAGAAAACAUCACACCCAAUGCGUUAGGGCACGAUAUUUUACCUCUUCAGAAAUGAGCUUGUCUAAAAACUUGCACAAUAUAAUUUAAAAGGGUAUUCAAUUGUUUAAGUCAUGUGAAAAUAUUGCAACCCAAUACGUUAGGGCACAAUUUCUCAAAAUAUUAAACAUUGAAUAUUGCAUUUUUUAGAAAAAUCCUCGUCUCGAGAAAACAACGUGUCAUAUCCAAUGCGUUAGGACACAACGUAUUGAAUUCUCGAUAAUGAGCUAUUUAUUUAUGUUUUUGUUUUAAAGAGCACUCUCGAUUAUUUAGAUUCAACGAAGAAAAUUGGAACCCAAUACAUUAGGGCUCAAUUCUCUCGAUGAUCCCAAAUACCGAGUAUUGCUUUUAUUUUGAAAUUUUCAUUUUUUUGACAAAUCCGAGUAAAAAGAUGUAACGUAACAACAAUGAUGAUAAUGUGAAUAAAAUAAUACAAGCAAAGGCUAUAAAAUAAAAUAAAAUAAAUAAAAAGACAAACUAAUAAAGUACACCAUAACAGCAUACAAACAAUAAUAUUAAAGCAUUCAUUCUAAAUAAUGUGAAUACAAAUAAAGAAAUAAAUAAAAAAAUGAAUAAGAUGAUGUAAAUGUAAAAGAUGCAUACAUAUGUAUACAUUUUAAAAUUAUUAUAUAUAAAAAUGUAAACAAGCAAAUGCAUAUACAUAUGCGUAUAUAUAUAUUAUAAAAGGGGUACAAAAGUAUGUUUUUAUAUACAUGUAUUUAUAAAAUGCGUAUAGAUAUAUAUAGAUGUGCAAAUAUAUGUGUAUAAAAAUUAUAGAAUAUAAAAAAUAUGUAUAUAUAUUUUUGUAUGUAUAUAAAAAUAAGUUAUAAAAAAAUGUACGUGCAUAAUACAUAUAUGUAUAUAUAUAUAGAAUAGAAAUAGAACUAAAAAAUAAUAUAAAACUAAUUAAUAUAUUAACAAAAUAGUAACGAACAAAUGAAAGGAAAAUAAAACUAAUAAUAAUAAUAAUAAUAAUUGCAGUGAUAAUAACAUUAAAAUAAUUAACUAAAUAAUAAAAUUGCUGAAAACACAGACUAAAUUGAAAUAAAAACGAAAAUACUGGGCGAAUUCGAAAUAAAAAAAAUGAAAAGGAUUAAAUUGCAACACGUGCAAAAAGAGAGGGACCAAAACAAUAAAUAAACCAAAGCCCCAAAACGCGGCGCUGCAAUGGACUAAAAUGUAACAAAAGUAAAACCAUACAGCUAAAUUAAAAUAAAAUAAAAGAAGGAAAAAGGACCAAAUUGCAACACGUUGCAAAAGCGGAAGGACCGCGCACGGAAAUAACCUUUUCUUAGAAAACACGCGGAUCCUUGGCGGAGCGGGUCGGGUCGGCCCGAUCCAGGGUCAAAACGAAGUCGUUUUGGGGAUUAAGGACGCCAACCAAAACAGCGUCAUUUUGUUUGGCUAUAAAAGCCAAAAAUUUUUCAAAAAAAAAAAUCAUUCAUUCCUUCUCACACCAAAAAAAAUCUGAUAUGCUCUCCCCCUCCCUUUCUCUGCUCCUCUCUCCGGCCAAGGGCCUGCUCAUCGCUUGUCGCGCCGUCCGCCGAUCGCCGAUGCCAGCGCCGCCGUGUGUGGCAGUGCGUGGCGGCCAGCAAGUGGACGACCCUAGGUGCGGCGCACCUAGGGUUAGGGUUACUUUUUUUUGUUGUUUUCUGAUUUGGGCCAUUUGGGUAGUUGGACUUUAGAUUUUGGGCUUGAGAUAGUUGGGUCUGUGAUUGGGGUAUUGGGCUAAUGUUUUGGGUUUGGCCCCCGGGUAAAUUUGGGCUGUACAAUAUUUUUUUUAAAAUUUCUUUUACAUUGUUUGCUUGAUGUUGUUUUGUAUUAUUUAGAUUUUCCCACUAUUCAUCUCAUUUUGGUAUGAAUUUAGAUAUUAAAAUAACUUGUUAUGUGGUAUAAGAGAUUAUGGUCUUUAUGUAUAUUGUAUUGCUUAUUUGUAUCUAUUGAUUCUUAAUCACCCAUUAGCAUGUAUUUUAGCUUACGAACUAUCAUUUCAUGUUAUAUAUCGUUAUCUCAUUGUGUUUCAUUUGUAAAAAGGGAUUAUGCUUCAUUAAGACAUUAAAAUCAUUUUAUCCGCAAGUUUUCAAAAUAUUCGGCGUUCAAGAUUCUCGAGAAGAUUGUACCCUAACUUACUGGGCUUCAAUUUUCUCCGUUGAAUUUAAAUAGCCGAGUAUCCUUUUUUCAAUAAAAUCGUAAACAUUUUAAGAUUAAAACUUACUCUCGGGAAUUCAAAGGGUUGUGUCCCAACUCACAGGAUACGACAUUUUGUUAUCUCGAGAUGAGAUUUUUUAACAAAAGCAAAUUAGUGUGUGAUCGUCAAAACUUCAAAGAAUCGUACCCUAACUUACGAGGUUUCGAUUUCUUCAUAGAAACAAGAUGACCAAACUUUUUUUUAGUUUUCAAAUUAAUUAAUUUCAAUAAAGAUUUUAAAAGGAGAAUCGUUUUUUUAAUCUUUUUCAUUCGACCUUAAGACAUUAAAUAAUUAAUUCUGUACCAAUUUUGGGCGUUACGUGGGUGCUAAUCUUUCCUCGUACGUAACUAACUCCCGAACCCAUUUUCUAAAACUUGCAGACCAAAAUCAUUUUUUAGGUGAUCCAAUCACACUUCAAUAAAAGAUUGUUGGCGACUCCCAAUUUUCAUUUUUAAGUCGACAACUAAUUUUUGUUUUUUAAAAAAUGGUUUCGACAUUCAUAAUGCUUAAAACUAUUUAUAAUCCUUCCUCAACUUUUAAAUGGGAGAAUAAAUGCACUUCAACGUGCUUAAAGUCACGUCCUCAUGCAUUGAUAACAAUGACAACAUUAAUGUUUACUGAGCUAACACUUAACCAACUUUUUUAAUAAUGUCUUCUAUGCUUAAUGCAAUGGCGACCAAAUCAAGCACUAGUGCAAUUAAUAGAUUAUUAUCUAAUUUUCAUAUUUAUAUCUAAUUUUCAUAAAAAAAAUUCUAUUAUCUAACUAUUAUAUAAAUCUUCUCAAAUGAUAGAAAUAUUGAUAGAAAUCAAGUACAUUAACUAAUACAUUUUUAUUGAUGAUUUCAAAGUUAUCAAAUGCUAGUCGAAACAAUAAUAUCGAAAAUGAAAGAUCAUGAAAUUUGGGUAGCAAAAGCAAUUUAAUGAUUGCAUUAAAAUUUACAACUUAUUUUUUCGUACAAGGAAUUAUAGCUCUUUUCAUUUUCCUUAUGCACACUAGACUUGUUGGUUGACUGGGUCGGAUCUGGUUUAGAUCGAACAUAAGCAUGUUAUUAAAAUAUUUUAUACUUGUUCAAACCUAACCCGGCAACCCGGCAUAUAAUAAUCCGGUUUCGGAAUUCAACCACGAUUUUGUAUUACAUAUUUUGAGGCUAUGAUUCUGAGGUUACUAUUCUAAAGUUACUUGGAGACUAAUUUUAUUAUAAUGUCAAUAAAAAAACUUGCAUCAAACUUUUCAUACUGACUUAACAGUAGGACUAAAAAAUUAAAUUUCAAAAAGGUUAGUAACUAAAUUAAAAAAGUUUUAAUUAAGUGACAAAAAUAAAAAUAAUCUAGUAAUUGAAAAACGUAGUUUACCCAAUAAAAAUACUAGAAAGGAAGGUUGAAAUUUAUAAUAAAGUAACUCCAAAAUCAAGCAUCACAUGAACGUACAAGCAGUUUGGAGGUAGCUUGAAUUAUCAAAAGAAACUCUUCCAGAGGAAGACUUUGAUUUAGAUACAUGGGAGAGUACUUGAAAGCCUUGAGAAGCCAAUGUUGAUGAGCUCAUAGUAACUCGUUAUUGCAGGCACACUACAUAUGAUGAAACAAACUACAUAAUAGUCUUGAAAAAAACACAAAUCAUGGGCAGGUAAUGCAACUUCAUGAUCUGGAUUUUAUUUAUUCGCAUUACAAUUUCGCCAAUGGAUCCUAUAGCUUGCCCAUUGCAUUCAAGGUUUAGUUGGCAACUCCUGGCAGCCGCGACCGCGUUUAUAAACGGAACAGGGUGGGUCCAUAGAAGGAGUUCCAGGUAUGCAGGAUUUAUAAGGCUUUCCACGGCCACAAUUUCGAGGUUCAUUAUGUUCACCCGGCGUAGCAGGGAUAAACACUGGUGGAUCAUUGAUGUCUGCAAAAUUAACAGCCAUAUAUUUCCCAUUUUAUAUCCAUAUCAGGCUAAUGUGCUAUAUAAGCGGAUAAAGGUAUAUAAGCCCUUGAACUUUUGCGAAAAAAUCAAUUAAGCCCUUUGCCGUACUCAAUUAAGUCUUCAAACUCUCAAAUUGCAUCAAAUUUUUAUUUAUAAUUUUGAUAAAUUUUAAUAAUAUUAUUUAUUAAUAAUUUUAAAACAUAAAAUUUUUAUAAUUUUUUAAAAAUUUUAAGUCAAAAUCAAUUGGGCAAGCAUUUGUCUAAGUCAUUCUAGUAAUUUUUUUUUUACUUUUUUUGAAUUUUUUAUUUUUCAAAAAAUUUAUUAUCUUAUUUUGUUGACAUCAGCAACUGUCAUUGACAUGGAGCGUCAUGUGAGCGCUAUUGAUGGUCACAUCAAUACUGUAACGGUUAAAGAUGAUCAAAGGACUUAAUUGAAUCAAUUGGAGAAUUUGAAGGUUUAAUUGUAUGCACUUUUUACGGAGGGGCUUGUUGAUUUUUUCGCAAAAGUUCAGCUGCUUAUAUACUUUUAGCCUAUAUAUAGUUAAAACCAUCCAUAUGUAAAAAAAAACUCAAUAGACACUACACCAAAACAGGCUUUUAGCGGCGUUUGGACAAAAAACGCCACUAAAAAUCGAGCAUUAGCGGCGCUUUACGUAAAACGCCGCUAAAGAUCGAGCAUUAGCGGCGUUUCUAGGAAAGCGCCGCUAAAAAUUAGCAUUAGCGGCGUUUUUUGGAAAAACGCCGCAAAAAGUCUAAGCCCAACCACAUCGUUUUGUACCUUACAGAUCUUUAGCGGCGUUUUGAAAAAAAGUGCCGCUAAUGCUCAAAUCUUUAGCGGCGUUUUUGAGAAAGCGCCGCUAAUGCUCAGAUCUUUAGCGGCGUUUUUACAAAAGCGCUGCUAAUGCUCAGAUCUUUAGCGGCGUUUCUGAGAAAGCACCGCUAAUGCUCAGAUCUUUAGCGGCGUUUUUAAAAAAGCGCCGCUAAUGCUCAGAUCUUUAGCGGCGUUUUUGAGAAAGCGCCGCUAAUACUCAGAUCUUUAGCGGCGUUUUUAAAAAGCGCCGCUAAUGCUCAGAUCUUUAGCGGCAUUUUUGAGAAAGCGCCGCUAAUGCUUAGAUCUUUAGCGGCAUUUUUGAGAAAGCGCCGCUAAUGCUCAGAUCUUUAAUUGAACAUUUUAUCUUCUAUUUACUAUUUAAUUUAUUUUUAAUUGAAUAUUUGUUAAAAAUGGAUAAAUUUGAAAUAAUGACACGUAAAAAUAAUUUGAAAUUAAAAAACAUAGAAAAAUAUUUGUUAAAAAUGAAGAAAUUAAAAUACUAUUAUUUAAAAUAAUUUUAAAUUUUUUUGUGUACAUGAUUGAUUGAUUUUUAAUUUAUAUAUUAAAUAAUUUCAAAUAUAAUUGUAAAAGAUAUGAUAGUAUUAAUUUAAAAAUAUUUAAUUUAAUUAUCAUAAUAGUUUAGGGUUUUAUAUAUAUGGUUUAGGGUAUAUAUAUGGUUAAUUUAGGAUUUAUGGCUGGUUUAAGAGUUGCAAUUUAAAGGUUUAUAAAUUAUGGAAUUAGGGAUUAUGGAUUAGGGAUUCUGAUUUAAGGGUUGUGAUUUAAGGUUUAUGGGUUAGGGGUUAAGGGUUAGAGAUUAAGAGUUAGGGAUUUAGGGUUUAUAGAUUUAGUGUUAGGUUAGGGUUUAGGGUUUAGAUUAAUUUGUGUGUUUUAAUUUAUAUAUUAAAUAAUGUUUAGGGGUUAGGGAUUUGGGGUCGGGUUAGGGUUUAUGAUUUAGAUUAAUUAGUGUUUUUAAAUUUCUAUAUUAAAUAAGGUUUAGAGGUUAGUGGUUUGGGGUUAAGAGUUAGUGAUUUAAGGUUUAGAGAUUCGGGGUCGAGUUAGGGUUUAAGGUUUAGAUUAAUUAGUAUUUUUUAAUUUAUAUAUUAAACAAGUUCUUAUAUAAUUGUAAAGAUUAUUAGUUUAAAAUUGAUAUGCAAUAUACAAUAAUUGAAUAUAAAAAAUUGUAAAAUAUGCGAGCUUUGGCGGCGUUUAUAGCCAAAACGCUGCUAAUAUGAUUUAGAAUUUUUCAAAACGGUGUCGUUUCAUUACAAUAAUUUAAUUUAUUAGUGGCGUUUCUUCUGUAAACGCCGGAAAAAGGUAACAUUAGCGGUGUUUAUGACUAAAAAGUAUUUAAUUUAAACCAUUUGAUAUAUUUAAAUAUUAGAUUUAAAAAAAUUAAUAAAUAAAAAAAUGUAACAAAUUGAUACGGAUAGGUAACUAUCUAUUUUAGAGAUAUAGGACCAAAUUAUAACAAAUAAAAAUAAAAUACAAAAACUAAAAUCAUUCCACAUCGAACAUCUAGCAAAAUAAUUAUAUUUUAGUUAGCAAGAAAUAUCUCUAAUAAAAUGGAGAUUAGAUCGGAAAUGAACAAUAUAAAAUCAUAAUUAACGUCUCAAUCUUUAAUAGAAAUUUGAUAUGUGAGAGAUUAUUUGAUAGUAAAAUAAUUUUACUUUAAAAAAACCAAUUUAUAAAAACGCCGCAAAAAAAUCAAUUUAUAAAAAACAAAAUAAAAUAUUAAUAAAAAAUACGAACAUUAAAGACUACAAAAUUAUUUUAUCAUUUUCUAAUUGCUACAUUGAUAAUUUUAACCGCAAAAUUAGAUGUUUAAAUUAAAAAAAUAAAAAAUUUAAUAUCUCAAAAUUAAAAUGUAGAGAUUUCCUUUUAAAUUUCAAAAGCGUAUAUAUAGGGUACUGCAUUCAUUACACCGUAAGUUCUACGAUUUUGGGCCGACUUUGUUAUACGGGCUUAUCCAUAUAAAAAUUUUAUCCAUAUAAAACUAAUAAAAAAAAUCAAUUUAUAAAAAAAAUAAUAAAUAUUUUAUAAAAUCACUUAACUAAUAAAUAUUAACAGAUUUAAAAUGAAAUAAUUUUUUGCGGCGUUUUUAUGAAAAAUGCCGCAAAAGAUAAGCAAUAGCGGCGUUUUUAUAAAAAACACCACAAAAAUAAUUUUACUUUAAAAUAAUUUUUAGCAGAAAAAAUAUAAAAUUUUUAACAUAGUAAAACGGCGUCGUUUUGUAUAAAAAUAAAAUAAUUUUUUGCGGGUCAAGAAAAAGAUAUUCAAAAUCCAAAUUUUUGGUUACCCGCUCGUUACUCCCUCUUCUCCUCAUCUCCAUCGCGCGCCGUAAAUACCCCAAAUUUUGUACUUAAUUUUUUUUCCCUUUUACUCUGCUGAAAACUUGGGGAUUUUGGCCAUUCCAUUGCUUUCUUUCUGAUUCAAUCUUCAAUAAGUUUCCAAUAUGGCUGGGAAAUUAACUACAGGUUGCUCUCUUUUUCUUGAUUCAAUAUGUUCUUCUUUCAAUGCUCUGCCAUUUUCUUACUCUGGGUUUUAAGUUGGUUUUAUGCACCCAAGAUUAUUUGUGUGAAUCCCUUCACCUGUGAUUAUUUGUUUUGUUGCUGUUGACAAUUUUUGAAAUCAUACUUCUUUUUUCUUUCAUCUCCUAAACUUUGUGCUUUCUUUGUUAUCAAGUACUUCUUUUUUUGUAUUUGGUACAACAAAUCUUUAACGAGUAAUCUUAAAAAUUCUUGCUUUUGAGGUUAGGUUUCUUUCAAUUAUAAAGAUAUAUUUGAUCAUGGUAUUUUGAUUACUGUCUAAAGUUUUUGAUUUCAAUCAAAAUUGACCAAAUUUUUCGUUUCUUAUUGUUUACAUGUUGCCCAAAUCACAUGCUUUGUAUGGUAUACUGUGCACCGCAAGAUCUUACACUAAAAGACAUUUCUUUUUCAAUAAAGAUGAAGUGGGAAAUGGAUUUUAUUUUUCCUUGUUAAUCCCAGUGACAUGUUUUUAAUUAGCUGUUUAGAGAAAUCAUUGAUUGAAUUUGUUACUCAAAAUGGAUUGGGUAAUUUAGUGCUUUCAAGGUGAACAAAUUGGCCUAGGCCUAGGCCUAGGAGUUGUUAGAGAGAGUUACUCUUUUUAAGUUUUUUUUUAUUUAUUUUUGGUUUAAACAAUGUCAGGAAAUAUCAUUGGUAUUGAGAAACUACAUAUUGUUGGUGGAGCUGAAGAUCGUACUGCUAUUACAAACGGUAACGCUGCAAAGAAUAAACCUCUAGUUGUUUGCUUCGGUGAAUUGUUGAUCGACUUUGUAUCGACGGUUAGAGGGGUUUCUCUGGCUGAAGCACCUGCUUUCAAGAAGGCUCCUGGUGGUGCUCCUGCAAAUGUGGCUGUUGGGGUAUAACAAUUAGGAGGAUCAUCCGCUUUCGUAGGAAAGGUAAAUUCAAUCAUCACUGCAAUAAUUCUAUGAAAUAAACUUCAUUUAAGAACUUUGGCUAAAGGAUACAUUCUCACAAAUGAUAUUCUGAUCAUUGUGUAGCUCUAAUCAUUCUUUCUUCUUGUUGCAAAUUUGAUUUUUUACUUUUGACAUACUUAAAGUUCCAAAUACUAUUUCAAUUCCAUAUCAGGUAGGUGAUGAUGAAUUUGGCUACAUGUUCGCUGACAUUUUAAAACAAAACAAUGUUGACAACUCUGGCAUACGAUUUGAUCGAAUUGCAAGAACUGUGCUUGCAUUUGUUACUCUCAAAGCUGAUGGUGAACGUGAGUUCAUGUUUUUUCGUCAUCCAAGUGCUGAUAUGCGUCUUCAUGAGUCGGAACUCAAUACAAACCUCAUUAAGCAGGUUUUCUUUCUGGCUUAUUCUUUUUUGUUUCAAAUAGUCGAUGUGAAAGGAAUUGGUUUUAGUAGGAUUUGGAAAUUUCUGACCUCCAAACAAUAUUGACUGUGUAGGCAAACAUCUUUCACUAUGGUUCGAUUAGUUUGAUCGAGGAACCAUGCAAGUCAGUUCACUUGGCAGCAAUGAACAUUGCCAAGAAGUCUGGAAGCAUGCUCUCUUAUGAUCCAAAUUUAAGAUUGCCACUAUGGCCAUUGCCAGAGGCUGCUCAAAAAGGCAUAAUGAGUAUAUGGGAUCAGUCGGACAUUAUUAAGGUAUGGUUUCUUUUUAUCAUGAGACUCAUUUAUGAAAUGUUCGUGCUACUGCAUUCAUUUGCUGCUAACCUAAGAAAAUGCAGGUAAGCGAGGAUGAAAUUACAUUCUUAACCGGAGGUGAUGACCCUUAUGAUGAUAACGUGGUGAUGAAGAAGCUUUUUCAUCCUAAUCUUAAGCUUUUGGUUGUAACCGAGGGAUUAGAGGGUUGUAGAUAUUACACCAAGGUAUGAUUAUCUCUUCUUUGCUUUUCUUUGAAAAAAGAUUGGAUGUUAUGAAUUUCACUAAUAAUUCUCACAAUCCAAGUGGACUUUUUGUGGACCUAUAAAAUCCUCUAUGGAGCCAAUGCCCUCAACUAAAGAUUAUCCGAGUUCUAAUGAUGCACUGAUUAAAUAAGUGAUAUCAACCUAUAUAUCCUUUGCAGGCAUUUAAGAGCAGGGUUCCUGGCAUUAAAGAUAAACCUGUAGACACGACAGGUGCUGGCGAUGCGUUUGUCAGUGGCUUAUUGAAUAGCCUAGCUUCUGAUUCAAAGCUAUUUCAGGUAGUUACAGUUGUUACAUUGGUUAAGAUACAUCAUUUACAGUAUCUUCUUUCCUAAUGGUUACUGAUAAAUUCCAUAUAACUAAACUUACCCCUGGAACAUUGUUAGUGCUAUUUAUAUGUUGUGUGUAUGUGUGUAUUAUUAUAUAUAUUGGGUUUUUGUUUCUUGAUUGUUAAAUAUGAAAUUAAGCAUAGGGUUCAAACUUUGGCGAGGGUACUUUUAGUUGUUUGAAACUUCUUUGGUUUUACUCGACUUGCAUUCUUUUUACAGUCAUCAAUAUAUUUUUUACAUUUCUUCCAUGCAGCAUGGAGUCACAAGAAGUAAUUGAUGCAGAACUCUCAGCUCGUGUUCUGCAGUUGAUAAAUGUCACUGAUAGUGGACUGCAGAGUCAGGUACACUGAGCAUAGUAGCUCGGUUUUGAUGAUAUUUUUUUUUAAUAUAUAUAUGUAGUAUGAUUUUAAUGUUGAAAUCUUCAUUUUCCUUGUAUUAUAAUUUUAUAACUGUUGCCUGGACUUGUCAAAAUUUAUCACCUUUGUCGUCAGGAGGAUUUAGGAUGUAUUUCUGGGAUAGUGAAAACCCAAGACUUGUCUUCGCAAAAUGCCAACAACCUUGUGGAUGAUAGACAGGAUCUCUAGAUUGUCGGUGCCAUACGGGAUAAGGAUAGAAAAUUUUUAACUACUUCAAUGAGAGAAGACAUGAAAACAUGCAGAUGAGAAAACUUCCAAGCAAGUUCAUCCUCAUAUUAUGCAUUUUGGUCUACUUUUUUAAACUAGUGCAAUUUUCCUCACUCGUGUAGAUUUCGUAAUACAUAAAACUAUUUAAGGUUGUUUAAAGUUGUACUGACUCAUGCCUACUCAUUGCCAUUUUGAAAUGUAAUUAGGAAGUUGUUCCGAAACGCACAAUACAGAUGGAAGAAGUCAUACAAGUUUCUCAUAUGUAUUAUUUAUCUUAGCUUUGAUCCUAAAUUUUUAUUUUUACUUUAAUAUUUACGACAACUUGAGUUCUAACUUUUGGAUUUUAAUUGUAUUAUUAAUUUAUUAUUGUAAAUUCUAAAACUAAAUUCAUUAAUUUUUAUAUUUAGUUUUAAAGUUAAAAUUUCAUAGAAAAUUUAAUUUAAAUAAUAUUUUUUAUUUAUCCUUAAAAGUAUAUUUAAAGUUCAAAUUUAGAAAAUAAAACAUAAUAUAAUAUUUAUCAUAAAAAUAAAUAUAAUUUAUUAAAAUAAUUUUUUUAAAGGUUAUUUUUUUAGCGGCGUUUUUGCUAGAAGCGCCGCUAAAGGUUUGAUCUAUAGUGGCGUUUGUGGUAAAAGCGCCGCUAAAGGUCUUGGUCUUUAGCGGCGUUUGUGGAAAAAGCGCCGCUAAAGGUCUUGGUUUUUAGUGGCGAUUGUGGGAAAAGUGCCGCUAAAGGUCUUGGUUUUUAGCGGCGUUUGUGGGAGAAGCGCCGCUAAAGGUUUUGUUUUUUAGCGUCGUUUGUGGGAAAAGCGCCGCUAAAGGUCUUGGUCUUUAGCGGCGUUUGUGGGAAAGCGCCGCUAAAGGUCUGGUUCUUUAGUGGCGUUUUUUGCGGCGCUUUUAAAGGCCUAAAAAAGCGCCGCUAAAAGCCUGUUUUGGUGUAGUGAGAAUUGAAUAAUCAACACAACACAUCCAAGUUCUUAUCCAUAUAAUGUUCAACAUUAUUUGAUUGUGAUUCAAUUAUACAAUACUAAUGCUAUAUAUAUUGCUUUAAGAUGGAAAAUAAAUGAAAAAUAGAAUAAAAGUGUUAAAUUUGUUGGUAAUGUGACUUAUACUUCUAGAUAAGUUAUAAAAAAAAAUCAAUAUAAUCAGACAAUGAACGCAAAACACUCAAAUUCAAAACUAUUUAAUAAUAAUUUGAGUAGUUAUUGUAUGCGUAUAUAUGUAAAUAUAUUGCUUGAUUAUAUAAAAUAAAAUUGGAAAUUUAUAUAGAAGUAAUAAACUUGUUGAUGUGAUUACUUACCCUUCUCCCCCAGAUGUCGAGCCAUGGUGAAAGUAUGGAUAAAAAGAGUGGAAGCCAGGAGAAUGCAUACCAACAUUAAUAAUGCUUUCAUUUUUGGGGGUAUAUUGUUGUUAUUAAUAGUAGGUAGUUUGUGUGAAGCAUGGCUUUUCUUUCGACUACUAUUUAUAGGUCGAUGUCUCAAGUGUGUUGUGGCUACUGUUCAAAGAUAGUUUGAUAAUAAAUUAUUAUUCACUCUAUAAAACUAGCAAAAUUAACAAAGGGAGGACUGAAGAAAUUUCCACGGCAGGCAAUAGGUUAUAGCUUAUUUCUGUUUUUUUUAAUAAUUUUAUUAUAGGUUCUGAUCAUAUCUGUUUUUUUACACAAUGUUUAGAACUACCUAUAGUCCCUCCCAACUCAUAAAUAGGAGGAUAAUACACUUCAGCGCACUCGAACUUACAUUCUUUUACAUUGGAAAUAAUGUCCAUACCAAUCGAAUUAAAGACUCAAUCAGCUACUUUCUAUCCUUUUAUGGCCCAUAUUUCCAUACAAAAAUCAAAUUUUUAGCGGUUGUCACUUUUAUUAUUCUCACUGGGAAAAAUAGAAACAUUAUUAGUGAUGAACUUUAUGAAUUCAAGAUGUAAGGAAAAAAUUUGAGGAUCAAAUUUAUGUUUAAUUAUAUAUAAUAUAUAAAAAUAUAAUUUGUUCGAUGUCAUUGAUAUUUGUUGGGUUUAGUAGUAAGGAGUUCAAUACUUUUUUGGAUUUGAACCUUGUAGAUAAAGAAAACAAUUUUAAAAAAACUUUAACCUCCAUUUAAGAACCCAAUCCAAUUCAACUCCAAAUUUAAUGAUCAAAUAUUGAAGGAUCUCAUGAAAAAAAUCUUGUUCAACAACAACUCUUUUAGAAAGAAAAUAGACUUUUAUUUUAUAGUUGAUAUAUCAAUUUCUUAUUUCUAAUGAUUUGAUUUUAAUCUUUCUUACGAUUUCAUUAGUAAGGAGGUGGAUGCAUUUUUGGGUCCUAAUCUUGCAGAUGAAGACAACAGACAUUAGAAAAACUUUACCCUCCAUUUAAAAACCCAACUUAAUUAAACUUCAAAUUUAUUUAUUAAAAAUUGAAGGAUCUCAAGAAAAAAAAAAUCAUUUUCUGCAACAAUUCUUUUAGAAGGAAAAUAGACUCUUAUUGUAUAGUUGAUGUAUCAAUUUCCACUUUGCAAUUAUUUGAUUUUAGUUGCAUUUCAAUUUUGUUAAUGAAAGAUAGCAACAUCCACCCCAAGUCUCAAAUGACUUGUUAGACCAUGAUAAUAAGGACAAAUAUGUUAAUCGUUAAACAUUACUAACUCGUACAAUGUGGGAUCACUUCUUACACCAAUACUAAAUAAAAAGCAAGCUUGAGGACCAAUCAUAGGACUAUGAGGUAUUACUUGUCUCUCAUAUUUAUCUUCUUCACUAAGUUAAUAUACUUUUACUCUCUCCAUAUAUAGUUAUGAAUCCUUAAUUAACUUAAGUAUCAAAGAACAAUUAAAAUGUCAAAUCCAAUGCCCCUUAGCUUACCCUUGAGUCCUGCAGAUCGAGUCAAGCCUCUUGAAGCACCUCAACAAGUUUGGUCUACACCAACCCAAAGAAGACUCUAAUAUUUGGUGCUAGUUUUGGGAACUGAGUGAAAACCCAUGGAUUAGUCUUAACAACCCAUUAAGCUUCAAUUCUUUUCCCAAAUUUUUGUUUAAGCUCCUAAUUUUCCAUUGGAAAUUUUUUAAAACUUUCAUUUUUGGAUUUUAGAAAGUUUUUCAAACACGUUUAUCUCCAUUAUUUUGGUUUAUCGAAGGUUCUACUUUUUCAAUGUCGGUCAACAAUUGAUCAAAAUAAAAAAUGUUUUUUCAUAUUUAAAUAUUUAAUAUUAUAACUUUCUAUUUUUAAUUUAAUUUAAUGUUUUUAUUUUAAACAAAACUAAUUGUCAUGUGAAAUUUUUUCAUUGACCAUAAUAUGCCAGGUAGCACUUUUUCAUUGGUCAAAGUUGUCUAACAGUUUUUUUAACGUUCGUUGUAAAAUGAAUCAAAAAUAGAGGAAAUUGAUACUUUAAGUACCAAAUUGAAACCAAAAAAAAUAGAUACUUCAGUAAAAAAAAAAGGUAUGCUUUAAGAGCUAAAUUGUAAUACCCAGGAAUUUGAGGUUAGAAGUUUUGAGGUUGUGGUUAGGGUUAUUGAAUAGGUCAAGCAAUUGAGUGGAUUUUUGCAUUUUAAUGUCAAAAUAAGCUUGUUGGUUUAGUGGUGGUGAAUGUGUUAGUUUACCUUUAUGUUUUGGGUUCAAGUCCUCAUGUGUGUUUUGAGGAAUUAAUUUGUUUUGGUUUUGGUUUUUAAUUUUUAAAGGUUUACUUUUAAAAUUUGAAAGAGGAGGUUUUUUAGUUUCACGUUCUUUUUCAUUUCCUUUUUUUUUGUUCCCUCUGUUAUUUUUUGGUUCUUUCCCCAAAUUUCAGUUCUUUUGAUUUCUUGUUUCGUCCGUUUUACAUUUAAGUUAUGUGUUGUCUGUCAAGGCUGAUCAUCCUCAUAUGUUUCGUUUUAUCGGAGGUGAAACGAAUAGGUUUUGCUCGUGAGGGUUUAUGAUAGAAUUGAUUCUAUUUCUAUUAUUUGUUAAUUGAAAUUCUUAUAGUUUAAGUUUAUGUGUGAAAUUAAGGUUUCCGAAUAGUUUGGUGAGAGUGAAUCGAUUGGUUCUUGGUGCUUGACAUCGUGUUCUAAGGUGUGUGUUAUGAAACGGUUUAACUUCGGUAUCGAGUUGCGGUGGAAUUCGAUAAUGUCUUGUGUGUUUCUGAAAUUGGUUAUUUGAAGUAUCAUAUUGUUACUAAAUUGCAUGAAAUUCUUUAUGUUUUGGCAUAAUUCUGGGUUACCAAGGGUUGGGGAUCAUUUUGACUUCAAAAGCAUGAUUUUCAAGUUGUUGCGGUGUGGUUUCAUGACCACACGGGUGGCCACACAAGCCUGUGUUGUACACGGGUGGUCCACACGGUCGUGUGCUGUACACAGGCGGUUUAUACGACCGUGUGUAAUUUGGAAUUUAGGGUUUUUGAUGAUUUUUGGUACCACAUGACCUGGCCACACAGGCAUGUGUCCCCACACGGGUAUGUGAGAUCUCCAUACAAUCGUGUCUCCUCUGUUUUUUUUUUUUGGCACUUUUGGAUAGUGAGUUACACAGGCUACUCAUACGACCAUGUAAAUUGGUCACAUGGGCAUGUGUCUCCUCCACAUGGGCGUGUAGGCCUCUAAAUGGCCUAGACAUUUCCACACAAUCGGGGCACAUGGCCAUGUGGCCCUAUUUUACAGAAUUUUUGUUUUGAGCCAUAAACUGUCUAUUUUAUGUUUUUAUGUAAUCCGACCCUCAGUCAAGCCUCGGUAAGUGUGUUUGGGAUUCGAUUUAGUUUGGUUCAUGUAUAUGCGUGUUUAUGGGCUUUAAUUUUAUUGCUCAUUUAUGUGAUGAAUAAGUAUGAUUUUAUUAUUGUUGUUGUAACUGGAUAUUAGAAUACAAGUGUAAUCAAAUCUGAAUCUGUUCAAUUGGAAAUGUUAACAUCCGUUUCUGUAUGUUGUCUGUGUAAUGUGUGCAUUGUUGCAUAGCAUGAAAAUUUUAGGAUCUGGUUAUGAAGAGAAGGAAGAUAGACUUAGUAGCUUUAACUACGAUACUUUUGUACAGCAGUUUACCGCACUAUCCUAUACGUAUAUCAGCUCAGCUAAAUACAGUUUCUCAAGUGGCAUAGUUCCACGUUAUAGUAUGUAGGAUGAACCUAUUAUGGUUCUAUAUGGUGCACAAGGUGGACGAGCCUACCAUAGCCCUUAUGUUGUGUGUUGGACGAACGAAGUGGUGUUUGGUUGGUGAAGUGGGAUUUUUGAGGUGUUACAUAAAUUCUGGGGUGUUGGGGUGUUACAUAAAUUCUGAACUAAGCCUUUUUUAUUUUAUAAUAGCAGAAAAAACACAUUUUUUUAUCAUAUUGUAUUAUUGAUCCCAAUUAAUCUUAUAUCAGAUUUAAAAGAUAAAUGAAACAAUAAGUACUAUAGUCUAUAUCCAUAUUUCUUCCUUUUCCCUUCACUUGGAAAAUUUUAUAAAAAAAAAUGCCAUUUGUUGAAACCUUUUUUUUUGAAAACAAAAAUUUUAGUUCUCGUCUUUAAAAAAUAAAAAAACUGGAGUUGCCAUCGAUCUUUUAUUUAGGUGUGAUCGGCUCACCUUAAAAAAAUUAUUUUGGUUUACGAAUUUUGAGAAAACGAGUUAGGGAGUCGGUUACGCACGAGGAAGGGUUAGCACCCUCGUGUACCAAAUUGAUCAUUUAAUGUCUUAGUGUCGAAGGUUAAGAAGAUUUUAAAAUCAGCUCAAAUGAUGGAAUUUGAAAAAGGAUAAUCAAUUGUUCAAGUCAUGUAAAGUAAUCGAGUCCCAAUACGUUAGGGUACAAUUCCUCAUAAUCCCCGAACUUUGAAUAUCACUUUUAUUUUGUGCGAAAAUCUUCAUUUUGAAAAAGUAACAUGCCACACCCAAUACGUUAGGGCACGACAAGUUAAGUUCCUAAAAAUGAUUUUUAUACUCAUGCAUUUUGAAUAAAGAACAUUCUCUGUUAUUUAAGAUGGACAAAGAAAAUCAGAACCCAAUACGUUAGGGCUCAAUUUCCUUUGAAAAUCUCAAACUUCGAAUAGUGCUUUUAUUAAAAAAAAAACUUUGAAUCAAGAAAAUAACUUUGAUGUAUGGUUAAAACCAAAAUAUAUUUCAAAAAGGGUGUGUUAAAAGUUAAUGUACACUAUGAAAAAAACUUUAAUUUAAAACACAUAUGAAUAUGUAUCUACAGAAAAUACAUAUAUAUAUACAAUAUACAAGUGAUCUGAAGACAUGUGCACGCAUUUAUUAAACACACAUAUAUAAGUGUUCAUAUAAAAAAGAAGGAAUAGAAUACAUUAAACAAAAACACCAAAAAAAUGCAUGUAUAUAAAUAUAUGAAAAUAAAAUAAAAGUAUAAAGAUAUGCACAUGCGCAUCUAUUUACAAAAAAUAAUAAUAAUAAUAAUAAGUAUAAAAUAUAUGUGCAUUGAUAAAGUACGAAAAUAUGUAUAUGUACAUUAAAAUACUUGUAUGUAUACAUAUAUGUAUAAUAAGCAUACAAAUAAUAGAGCAUAUAUAUAGAGAGAGAACCAAUGUUAAAAAAAAACUCCAAAAAAAAUAUAAAAGUGUAUAUAUAUAUAAAUUAGGAAGUAAAAAUUGAAAUAAAAAAUAUAAGAAAUAUAAUGCAAACGUAUAUUACAAAAAACAUAUGUACACAACUAUGCGUAUGUGUAAAUGAAAUAAUAAUAGUCAUAAUAAUAUUAAUAAUAACAAUAAAUAAAAAUAAAAUAAAAUAAAAUAAUGUAGCAUAAUUAUGAUAAAAACAAAAGAAGGAUUAAAUUGAGUUAAAAACAAAGAAAUGGGGCGAAUUUAGAAUAAUAUUAAAAAAAGAUCAAUUCGAACGCACGAGCAACAAUGGGGGACUAAAAAGGAAAUUAUUCCUUCCCUCCCAAAACGCCACGCAGUGAGGUAUCAAAUUGCAGCAAAAUUAAAAUCUGCGACCCAAUUUAAAAAAGAGAAAAACAGGAUUUAAUUGAAUCGCGUUGCAAGAGGGAGGGGCCAAUUGCGAAAAUUCCCCAUUUAACAAAACGCGCGGAUCCUUCACCCCCAAAACGGCGUCGUUUUCAAAUCAGUAUUUAAAUGAAAAAUAUUUAAAAAAAAAACCAUUUUCAUCAUAAAAAUAGUAAAAAAACUGCUGCCACUCUUUUUGCUCUGCUAGGGUUUGGAACCCUAGCGUCCUCGCGCCGCCUCCCAGGCGAUUCGGUCGGUCUGAAAUCCGGCACCGAUUCCGACCCCAACUCAGGUAAGUUUUCUUUUUCUUUUUCUUUGUUAUUUUAAAUGAAACAAAAUGAAAAGUAAAAGAAAAUGAAAAAACAUAUGUAAAACGAUAGACACUAUCAACAACGAAAAAGAAAUCACCUUUAAAGAACAAGUUUUUCACUAUUUUUUUCUCUAUUCUCGAUUAUUUAUCUUUUUAGUGUACAAGUUAGGCUUUUAUAGCCUCAGAAAACUGCUUUAUUUUACAAUAUUGGGACUCUUUUAGUCCGCUUUUGCAGGUGGUUGUGGAGAGCACGGCGCGCGUGGAGGCCGAAACUUGCGGCGGCUGGAGGCUGGGCGUGGGAGCGGCGCGCGUGCAAGGUAGUUGCCUAGGGUUUUUUUUUACUUAGGUUUUCUUUAGUUGCUGAGUUGAGCUAGGUUAGUUUGUGUUUUAGGCCAUACGGGUUAUUGGGUUUGGGCACAGGAAUUAUUGGGCUUGUACACUAUUAAUCCAAGACUUUUUGCAGCGAAUUUUAGUAUAAAUGUCGCUAUAUUUAUGGCGCCAAAAUAUUCACAUGACAUUGUUGUGAAGCAGGUGAUGAAACUUGAAAUUAGCGACGUUUUAUACAGUAAACGUCGCAACUUUUGUCACAAUGGGUGGUGUGUUACUUUGAAACGCAGCGGUUAAAAGUAAUACAUGGCGACAUUUUUUUCUAAAAGCACCACUAGUUAUGCCAUUGUAUGUAGAAUUUGAUAUAGUGCUUGGUCUCUCUCUAAUUCUAAUCUUAUCAUUGAUAUCUCCACUAAUAUCUUAAGUGAUUCUUUUUGACCCCUGAAUAAUAGUUGGAGUUGUUUAAUGUUGUUAUCUAAGUCAUCAUUUAGAUCAAUAAUAUUGGUUUCAUAAGUAUACGAUAGGCAUUUUAACAAUAUCUUUUUUUUAUAUAAUGCCUAGAAUUAUUUAUAGUCAUUCUUCAAUUCUUGAAUGGGAGGAUAAAUGUGAUUUAGUGUGCUCAAAUUCACGUUUUCGAGUACUAGUAACAAUGACAAUAUCAACGUUAACCAAAAUAAGACUUAAUCAACUUUUUUAAUAAUGUCCUUAAGGCUUGAUGCAAUGGUGAUUGAGUUGAGCACUAGUGCAGUUAAUAAAUUAUUAUUUAAUUUUCAUAUUAACAUCUAAUUUUUAUAAAAUUUUGGCUAUUAACUAAUUAUUAUAUAAUUCUUCUCAAAUGAUAGAAAUAUUGACUGACAUCAAGUCCAUUCACUAAGAUAUUUUUAUUGAUAAUUUCAAAGUUAUCAUAUUGUAGUUGAAAGAAAAGUAUCGAAAAUGAAAUAUCAUGGAAUUUGGCUAGCAAAAGCAAUAAAUGAGUGCAUUAAAAUUUACUACAUAUUUUUCCACACAAAAGAAUUAUAGGUCUUUUCUUUUUCCUUAUGCACAUUAGAGGUGUUUAUCGGCAAGGUCGGAUUGGGUUUAGGUCGAAUUUAAGCAUGAUAUUAAUAUAUUUUAUAUUUUAUAUUUUUUAAGCCUGGCUCGACUUAUAAUGAGUACUUAAUUUUUAGUGGUGUCGAAAAAUACGGUUUCGAGACUCCAUUUCUGUCAACCGAGUCCGUAAAUAUUAAAUAGGGAUAUUUACGGAAUUAGUGUAUAAAUAAAUUGAAGUUCGAUUAAAUAAUUUAGUCGAAAUUCUGGUUAAUUAAGGCCUAGGGAUUAAAUUGUAAAAAAUUAAUCGCUAUAGAUUUUUAAUUAGGAAAAUACUUGGGAACUUAAAUAGCGAUUAUCUAUAAGACUAAAAUGGUUGAUAGACCGAUUUGAAAUAUACGAUAGUGGGAUGUGAUAUUAAAAUGUCUUUAGAUUAAAUAAAUUAAUGUUUAAUGUUUAAUUAAGUUAAUUAAUUAAGUUUAAUUAUAUUUUAAACAAACCAUAUAAGCCAAAUAAGUGGAAAAAGAUGAGAAAAAGAGUCAUCAUCUUCAAUCUCAUCACCGUCCACCAUUUCUAAGAAAGGAAAAAGCUUUUGAAACUUUUAUACAUUCGACUAUAAAUUAUAAGCAAGUUAUUAGUCUUUUUUCUUUGAUUUUUAUAGAUUUUAUGUUGUGCGGAAGCGUGUAAAAGAGUAAAAUUAUUGUACUAAAAAACCACACUAAGUUCAAUUCCCAGGAAAGAGAGGUGGAUCACAAGGAUCGCUUAAGUACCAGGUCUUUCCUAGCCAGAAUAUUCCUCUAUCGUAAUUUAAUAGCACAAUAAAUCACUACAAUCACACUCACAAUUCAUGCAGAAUAAUACAAUAAAGAACACAAGAAUUUAACGAGGUUCAGCAAAUUUUGCCUAUAUCCUCGGGCACUACCAAAUAUACUUCACUCCAAAAUACAAGUGACAAUUUACAAAGAGGGAGAGAGAAAACAAUGCCUUAAGUAGAGAAUGACAAAUUUGGGAUGAUGAAAAAGAGAAAUGGUUAGGCCUAUUUAUAGUUGAGGUUUAGGGAUCAAAGUUACAAUUAUCUUAUGCCAAAUCUCAAUCCCACUUUUGGUGCCUUAAAUCUCAGAUUCUGAUACCCAUAUCUUUCUGAUACUCAUAUCUUUGACUUUCUAUAAAUAUGGAUGAUUUCCAAUAUUUUAAGUCAUGAGAGUUUGAUUUAGUUAGCCCAUGUACUAAUUUUUAAAUCUGUUAAAGUUUUUAAAAGUUUCCAUCAUUAGAAAAUGGAUGAAUUUGGUGUAAUUUUGAUAGAAAUUAAACUUAGUUUAUGAAAACGACUAAAUUGUAAAACUUAAUUCUUAAUUUUGUACAUUAAAGACUAAAUUGAAUAAAAUGCAAAACUGUUAUUAAAUUUCAAUAGGAAUGAAAAUUGGUAAUUUCAUACAUUUUUUUCUAAAAGCACCACUAGUUAUGCCAUUGUAUGUUGAAUUUGAUGUAGUGUUUGGUCUCUCUCUAGUUCUAAUCUCAUCAUUGAUAUCUCCACUAACAUCCUUUAUUAAGUGAUUCUUUUUUACCCUCGAAUAAUAGUUGGAGUUGUUCAAUAUUGUUAUCUAAGUCAUCAUUUAGAUCAAUAAUAUUGGUUUCAUGAGUAUACAAUAGGCAUUUCAAUAAUAUCUUCUUCUUCUUUUUUUUUUUUUUUGUAUAAUGCUUAAAACUAUUUAUAAUCCUUCCUCAACCUUUAAAUGGGAGAAUAAAUGUGUUUCAACGUGCUUAAACUCACGUCCUCAUGCAUCGAUUACAAUGACAAUAUUAAUGUUUAUUGAGCUAACACUCAUGCAUCAAACUUUUCAUACUGACUUAACAGUAGGACUAAAAAUUUAAAUUUCAAAAAGGUUAGUAACUAAAUUAAAAAAGUUUUAAUUAAGUGACAAAAAUAAAAAUAAUCUCAUAAUUGAAAAACGUAGUUUACCCAAUAAAAAUAUUAGAAAGGAAGGUUGAAAUUUAUAAUAAAGUAACUCCAAAGUCAAGCAUCACAUGAACGUACAAGCAGUUUGAAGGUAGCUUGAAUUAUCAAAAGAAAUUCUUCCAGAGGAAGACUUUGAUUUAGAUACAUGGGAGAGUACUUGAAAGCCUUGAGAAGCCAAUGUUGAUGAGCUCAUAGUAACUCGUUAUUGCAGACACACUACAUAUGAUGAAACAAACUACAUAAUAGUCUUUAAAAAAACACAAAUCAUGGGCAGGUAAUGCAACUUCAUGAUCUGGUUUUUAUUUAUUCACAUUACAAUUUCGCCAAUGGAUCCUAUAGCUUGCCCAUUGCAUUCAAGGUUUCGUUGGCAACUCCUGGCAGUCGCGACCUCUUCUAUAAAUUAUGGGACACUCCCUCUUAGGAGGAUUUGUAGCUGGUAUGCAGUUC
rnacentral:lncRNA from 1 species